CUCAAAGGUGUGCAUCUCAGAGAGGAGAAACUGGGAGAAAAAGAUGAGAAAACAAUAAACGGAUUCUUGUUAGAUGAUUUGAAAUAUAGCACAGAGGAACUGCAGGUAGCCAUUGAUCACACCUUCAUCACUUAUUGAAUAGUCGAAAUGCAUUUCUGCCAGCGAUCGCCCCCUUCGCAUGGAAUGGAGAUUGGAAUCUUAUAUAUAUUAUUCCCUGCUUUCUAGUUUGCAAAAUAAACAGUUGUCUGUCAUCCCAUGGCACUGUUAUUUGUCAUAGAUGUUUCUAUGUACUGCUGUGAAGUUCGGUUAUGCUAUUACAGUUACAGUGAUGGUCUGUUUAUUGUUCAGUUAUGGUUGCUCUAAUAAUAAAGUGGAGGACCCUCCAUGGCACACCAUUUGUAACCCAUUUGUAAUUUUGUUCGAUCAGUUGUAAUAUUACUCUGUACUCUUAUAUAAAACUCGCAAACUAAUUUAUUGUGGUGAAUCGUUGUUUUUGUAAUCUACGAAUGCUUGACUUGGUAACAGAUCGAUAUGUGUCGCACAAGGAAGCAGCAUCUUAUACUUUGAUCGUGUAUUUGUGUGUGCGUGUGCGAGGGGAGAGAGAAAUAUUGAACAUCCUAGAAUGUGUGUGAGCUGAUGUAAUACUACACAAGCUGUCCCUUGAUUACAUAAUAAGGCAACGAUCUCUACUCAAAAGGUUGACACUGGUUUACUGCAAUUAGUUUUUAAUGAGUCAAAAAUCUUGCAUUUGUAUCAACAAGUUUAGUGAUUGCCCCAAUUAAUCACAUGAAACUAAUAACAUGAAUAAUGAAUAGCAUUUAAAACAUCAACAAUCAUUUGUCAUUAUUCCAUAAGAAGUCCAAGGCCACUCAUGACAAUGAGUACGGUGGUUAUAAAAGUUUUAUACUCUAUAAAGGUUGUACAUUUUCAUCAUGACCGUGAUUUACCUUUUCGCUUGAGGUUAUCAUCGUGUUGACCCAUUAUCAAGGAAGGGUGACAGGGUUCACUAUAAAGCCUUUUAAAGGUUUAGUAUUCCAAUUGGCAAGCAGAUGUAGGAACCCCUUUAUAAUGGCACAAAGCUAAUGUAUUAUUGUUCAGACGAGGGUCCUGGAUUAGAGCAAGACUAUUAAUACAGCGAGCUAUUGGCUAUAAGUGUCUUUGGAGCCUUCCUUUCAGUCCACCUAUACAGUAAUUAGCUCUCCUAAAGUUUCUUACUUAUCUGUGUUUAAGCCGGUUAUAACUUUACAGUCUGCUUCUAAUCUCUCUCAUAUCCUCUCUCCUCCACCUCAGCAUUGGACCUACUUACUUGCUCUUAGCUGGUAGUGAGCUUGUGGUGUCAAACAAGCUCCUCCUAUCUUCUCCUGAGCUAGCAGUACUUGAGUAUGAGCAGCGAUGAGAAUGAAUAUUGAAGAAACUAGGAACAUUAGGCAAGGACCGAAGGAUGACAUGUAUGCAAGCAUAUAUAUAUAUAUAUAUAUAUAUAUAUAUAUAUAUAUAACUAUUACUUUGUAGCUGGCUACAAAAUAACUUAUUUUAUAGCCACUUUGAGUUACGAUAAUUACUAUAUUAAUUUACAAGAUUAUAGUAACUCCUUACUAAGUGGUUUACUAUAACAUUACGGUAAAUAUCCCCAUGUGUUAUAGUAACUCAACUAUCGUAAAUUAAUAUAUAAAAUUAUCGUAAAUGGAGGUGGCUACAGAAUAACAUAUUUUGUAGCUAGCUACAGAGUAUACUCUCCCUAUAUAUAUAUAUAUAUAUAUAUAUAUAUAUAUAUAUAUAUAUAUAUAUAUAUAAUGUAACCGCAAAACGAGGACUGUCAUUUUUAUCAUUAAAAAACAUGAAGUGCUUCCUUUAUUUAAGACUAAAAUAAAUAAUUACUCGCCGAUCUUGACCUCACAAGUCCAACACUAGAGGGUUCAUGUCUCAAUAAAAUGGAACGACGACCUAGAGACUCUCCAGCAUAGAGCACCUAACCAAAGAUUCUUCAGAAUUUGAUAUGAUGCCAAUUUCAAAUUUUUUUUUUGUUAUUAGCCAUGUGGACAAACGUGUCUAGCUCACUUAUGAAGAUGCCAAUUAGCAGAAAUUAAGUCAAACGAGAAGCCAUCUUGAGCCCAGUUAAGAGAAACAAAAGGGUGAAUAAGAUGCACAUGAUGAAUAAUGUAUUGUUCAGGUCAAUUUCAUUUCUCAGUUUCCUUGAUUCGCGAAUAUUUCGAUCGUAGCAUGCGUGUGGUCAUGUGCCUACCUGCGCCAAUAAUUGUUUCAUGCGUGUGUAGUGUAUGUAGAGUCAUUCUAUAUCUUAGGGUACUCCCAACGCUAAAAAUUACAUGUACUUUCUAUAUCUAUUAAUUUUUACAGACACUAUAUAUAGAAACUAUAAUCCCAAUAGAUAGUUUUUAUAUAAUAUUUUUUUAUCCAGUCACAUCUAUUUUCUCUCCAUUCUCAGCUAAUCAUAUCACUUCAUGUCUUGGAUUUUGUAUGGAUAUGGUUUCUAAGGCCUUGUUCACUUUCGAAAAGUGAAAAGUUUUCCGUACUGUAGCACUUUCGUUUGUUUGUGACAAAUAUUAUCCAAUCAUGAACUAACUAGGAUCAAAAGAUUCACCUCGUGAUUUAUAGCUAAACUGUGUAAUUAGUUUUUGUUUUCGUCUAUAUUUAAUGUUUUAUGCAUGUGUCAUAAGAUUCGAUGUGACGGGGAAUCUUGAAAACUUUUUGGUUUUCAGGGUGAACUAAACAAGGCCUAACUUAGACCCAGUUUUCUAUGAUUUUUGCUCUCUCUCUUUAAUAACUCUUCUGUCACAUCAGCAACAUAGAAAUCACGAUGGUUUCUAUAUUGAAAGUGUCCUUAAUGCCUAUGUCGAAAUAAUAAAUGCUCUCCAGCGAACUCAUAUCAUCAUGAAACGUACUCAUAUCAUCAUGAGGAGUAUUCCCUCGGUACCGUAAAAAACUAGACGUUUGGACAACUACCAAACUAACUCCUAAUUAAUUACUUCUUGGUUACCACAAUCAUGUCCUAAACGUCAGGUUUUUUGAGUAUGGAGGGAAUACAUAUCAUAAGGCCUUGUUUAGUUCACCCAAAAAUUAAAAAAAAAAUCGAGAUUCCUCAUCACAUUGAAUUUUGUGGCACUUGUAUGGAGCAUUAAAUAUAGAUGAAAAUUAAAAACUAAUUACACAGUUUGCUUAUAAAUUGCGAGAUGAAUCUUUUGGGUUUAGACCUUAGUUAGUUCAUGAUUGGACAAUAUUUGCCAAAUAAAAACAAAAUUGUUACGGUACCCGAAACCAAUUUUUUUGGGGAACUGAACAAAGCCUAUGUUCACCCAAGAUUCAAAAAUUUUUCAAAAGUCCUCAUCACAUCGAAUCUUACGACACAUGGAUAGAGUAUUAAAUAUAGAUAAAAAUAACUAAUUGCACAGUUUACCUAUAAUUUGUGAGACAAUUUUUUUAAAUCUAGUUAGUCUAAUACAAACAAAAGUGCUACAGUACCAAAAACUUUUCACCUCAGGAACUAAACAAGGUCUAAGACAGCAUCAUUCUAGUUUAGGGGCUCCUUGUCCCUCCUGUUCUUUAAAAAAAAAUCCUACUCAUUCACCAUGCUCACCGAAAUGACUUCUGGAUCCAUCCAAAGUGGUUGUAACCGGAAAAAAAACGAAAACCAAGCUGGGUAGAGUUUUUUUUAAAGGAACACAAGCUGGCUAGAGUUCACGUGGGUGCCAGCUGCCACAAACAAAUGUUCUUUUCUGCAUCACGGAGUUCACGUGGGUGGCAGAUUAUUAUUAUUAUAGGCCAGCUGCCAAAAUGUGCAUCACGAUGAGUUCACGUGGGUGGCAGAUUUGUUUUGCAGGAUCACAGAAGAUGCGAAUAUUUCGAUCAGACCAUGUAUUUGGGCCUUGUUUAGUUCCAAAAUAUUUUGCAAAAUGGACACUGUAGCUUUUUCGUUUGUAUUUGACAAAUAUUAUCCAAUCAUGAACUAACUAGGCUUAAAAGAUUUGUCUCGUCAAUUUCGACCAAACUGUGCAAUUAGUUUUUAUUUUUGUCUAUAUUUAGUACUUCAUGCAUGUGUCUAAAGAUUCGAUGUGACGGGAAAUCUGAAAAAUUUUACAAAAUUCUUUGGGAACUAAACAAGGCCCACUCAUGUGCGGCGCAUAUGCCUCCCUGCUAGUUGUUUGAUGCGUGCCUACAGGAAUAUUUAUAAUUUAUCGGUUGGGUUUUGUGCCCAUUGGUGCAGUUUGAUCGAAUAGCUUUGGCCUUGUGUAGUUCCAAAAAAUUUUAGAAAAUCAACACUGUAGUAUUUUCGUUUGUAUUUUACAAAUAUUAUCUAAUCAUAGACUAACUAGACUUAAAAGAUUCGUCUCAUCAAUUUCGAUCAAACUGUAUAAUUAGUUUUUAUUUUCGUUUAUAUUUAAUACUUCAUGCAUACGUCUAAAGAUUCGAUGUGACGAGAAAUCUGAAAAAUUUUACAAAAUUUUUUGGAACUAAACAAUGCCUUUGAAACAAAGUCAAACGACAAGCCAACCAGAUCCCAAUUAACAUAAACAAAGCGUGAAGAUGCCGACCAUGCACAUGAUAAAUAAUGUAUUUUUGAGUGCAAUUUCAUCUCUUACAUAGUUACUAGUAAAUUUAGCCGGCUCUCUAAAUUUAGCUGCGGUAGAUCCAAACAGCCGAAACUAAAAUUAAACAGCUAAAAAAGUGCUCUUAACUAAUGGGAACUGCAUUAUUUCAUUAUCUAUUCCAAUCUAUCUGUAACACCCGAUUUUAAAAAUAAAAUCAGAUAUACACCAUAUGUGAGUUUUAGAAGACAAACCUCAUAUAUAGCUACAAAUAAGGGGUAAUAUCAAAGGACAACGCAUAAAUUAUAUAACGUACAUAAUAAAUCAGAAACAACCUUAGGCAGCAAACCACGGAAGAUAACUCCAAACUUCGAGUAUUAACUUCACUCUACAGGAUCCAACUGACUGGUUGAUCAUAAGCCCAAUACUUCUCCUGAGGUGUGGGGGAGAUAGCAAGAAUGAGUCCAAAACGAACUCCGCAAGUAUAGCAACUAGAUAGUAUAGAUCCCACAUUCUCAUGAUCAAUGUGACAUAAAUAAUAUAGAGCAUCAAACAAUAAACAAUGAGUUUCUUAACACAACAAGAUUCGUCACCCUUAAUGUAAGAAUCCCCAAGGCCGCUCGUGACCGUGAGCACGGCUAGUAUAUCAGUUUAAUAAACACUCUGCAGAGGUCGUACAUCUUUACCCAUGAGUCAUGAUUUACCCUUUCGUCCGAGGUAGCUAACCUCUUAACACCCUUCCAAGGGAGGUUGGCAGAGAUCACUAUGAAGUCUUUCAAAGGUUCGUCUAACAAGUUAGGGCCGCUUGGUUUCGGUAGUCAGUCCGUGUGAUUCUACCCCGCAGGGAAUCCACGGUCUGCUAUCCCCCAUUUGCGCCAUGCGGGUAACCUCUAACAAGCUAGAAAAGUUACUCAUACUUGACUAAAGCCAGAGCCAUCAUAGCCCUCAAGGUUGCACUUUUAUCCCGGUUAUCACUUACGAAUAAAUCCUCAAGUUGCUAAAAAGUCAUUAUUAUCAUUUGUGGCUUUAUAUUAUUCUAGGCACAAGAUCAUGGUCAUAGAAUUAAAACCCAAAUGCUAUACUUGCCUUAAUCCAAUUGCUCCUGCUGGUCCUGCUGAUCUUACUUGCUUCCAAGGCUCUGAUCUUGAUCACCGAAGUAAUGCCCACCGACUAGACUCGGUCAACAAUCAUCAACACACAAGCAAUUGAGGCCACACAUACACAAAGCAAACAAAGCUAUAAUUAGAACAGUACACCAACAGUAAAUAAAUUUAAAUAAAAGUUUUCUAAAAUCAUCUACACGCUGCUACGACCACGUCAACGAGAAAUUUACGGAAAACGGAGUUACGACGCGAAAUCUACACAUUAAACGGGACUCCAAAGGCUAUCUACGGACUUGUAUUUAUCUAGAAAACCUAACAGUGGUGAAUCUAGACAACAAUGGUACCAACGCGAAGCUUAUGAAAUUAUGAAACUAACACAACUUGAACGGAUCGAAACGGAGCUAAAACAGAGAAGAUAUGAAUUUUCUAAGAUUUUCUUUGGAAAAGUAAUUAAUUAAAUAGGGUCACAAAAGUAAAAAGUUUCAAACUGUUAAACCAAGUUUACUAACAAGUAGAUCUCGUGAUUACGAAACGCAAUUUAAACGGGUCAAAUCAGAGUUAAAAUGAAUACUUUAUGAGCAAAAGAAAAUCAGUGGCAAAACUGUAAUUUUGUUACGUUUGGAAACAAACCAGCGAGGAAUAUGUUUUCAAACUCAGUUGGCGUAACUCUAGGAGGCGCUUUGGACCGCGGGUUCUAAACUCCAAAAUCGCAGAGGUUCUUUAACAAAUUUCACCCCGAAGGGGAUUCUUCUAAUCGCGACCGCAAAUCUUAGAAUGGACGGCCGAGGGGGUUGGGGAGGUUUUGGCCGGCCGGAACAGUAAAACCAACGACGGUGGAGGCCAUUAACGGCGACGAGAGCUCGUCGGAGUUGGCGAAGAACGCGCUACGGUUGACCAAACUCAAAUCCGAGAGCAUUGGGAGAGAGAGAGAGAGAGGAGAGCACAGCGAGUCCAUUCAUGGCCUCGGCGUGGUCGGGGAAGGCCCCUCGCGGCAUGCUCUAUGGCCGGCGGCCAUGAAGCUCAUCGGAGCUCACGGCUAGAGAACUAGGAGGCACGUGAACGCUUGGAAUUCGGUCGGGAAGAAUGCGGGGAAGUGGGAGAGCUCACCAGCGCGACGAAACGGGCGAGGAUGGCUCGAUUCGGUCGGACGGCGGGCGGUGGAUCGCGGCGGCAGUUCCUGCGCACUGCGAGCGGGAGCAGGUGCGAGGGAAGAGCGAAAUGGGAGCAGCAGGGCCGGCUCGGCUCGCGCGUGUCCAAAUGAGCAAGGCGCAGGGGAGGAAGUGGGGAAGUGGGGAGCGGGGGCGCGGCUUCGGCCGGUUGCGGCCUCCUACGCGAGAGAAAGGGGGCGGUUGGGGAAGGAGAAGAAGCUGACGGGUGGGCCCUGCCCGGCAGCCACUGAAGAGAGAGGAGGGGUGGGAGGCGCUGCGGGCUGGAGUGGCACAAGCGGGCCGGCCCACUGAGAAAAGAGAUGGGAGAGGAGAGGAGGGGGCUGGGCCUGCGUGGCUGAAAUCAGAGAGAGGGAGGGGGAAUUUUUAUUUUUCAAACAAAAUUUCAAAGCCCUUUUAAAUUUGAAUUUUGAACCAAAUCUCUUUUGCUCAAAUUCACACUUUACAAAAUAAAAUGUUGCAGCAUGUAUGCAUCAACAUAUUUUCUAAACUUAUGUUAAAUUUUAAUUUUCCAAAAAUUAUUAUUUUUCCUAUAUUUUGAUGCUCAUAAAAUUAACUCAAUAAAUCAAAUUUCAACUAUUUUAAGGAAGGGAAAUUUUAGGGUGUUACACUAUCUAAUGGCAGCUAAAACUAAAAGUAGUUAGUGACCAAAUUUUGCUUGUUUUUUCACCCACACGUGCUUCGGCCUGUUCCCCGCUGUGAGUCCGCGCAAGCAACACUAUCGGCACGCGUCCAUCUUUUUUCCUGAGUGCCAUUUUUUCCCUACAGUAGAGGGAGUGGUAGUCGUACGUGGCACCAGUGCACCCUGCUCCGGCACUCUGCUAGAGGCACCAGGCGGCGACAAUGACACGUCGACGGCCACGCUGGCUCUCGCAGGCUUGUGGCGUGAAGCUGGCUGUCAGUGAACUAGUGAGGGAUAGAGAAAUUGGUGAGUGGAAAGACCAAAUGAGCAAUAAAGUUAAUGGAAAUAAUUAAUGGGGGUUAGCAUGCUCCGAGGUGUAUUCAAUUAGCAACACCCCGCCGGCUAUUUUUUUUUUUCUAGAUCGAAGUUCUGCCCAGUUUUCAUUAAAAGGAGUAGCAGUAACCAAAUGUUACAAAGUUCAACACAAGAUGCAGCAGCGAGAACGAAGCCAAUGCUGGGCACAGAGCACCUAUCUAAAAUUUAGCUCUAGCAAUUAGAUGGGGUGGUUGCAAACAGUGGCCUUAUAUUAGUUACCGGUAAUCUCACAGACUUCCAAGAUUCAUGCAGGAUCUGGCUAACGGCUAGUCAUUGGCCAUGAAGAAUAGACCACAGGGUAGAAAAUGGAAAUUUGAUGAGGACAGUUUUCGGUGAGACACACACCAAUACGCCUUGUUUAUUGUGAGAGCCUACACUCAUCCAUUAUCAAACAAAAGUGAUGCCUAGUGUUGGGGGCACAACACUGCCUUCCCCAUCCCUGGUUGCUCUAGAGGAUCGCCUCCGCCUUGAAUCUCCGCCCCGAGAUCCUUCGAGCGUUAUGAUGCGAAGGAUCAGGGUGAGGCUAACGGUAACGCGUUUUGUAUGGUGCUGUGUAGUUGCAGGAACCGAGCCAGUGGCGGAGGCCGCGAGGAAUGGAGGAGAGGACCUUUGGAUUCCCGCGUGCCGAAGGAUAGGCGAAGGCAUGUCUGAGGACGCGGUGACGUUGAGAAACCUUCAUGGCCCCUGAGCCGAGGAACCUUCGGCGUCUUCAGUCCAAAGGUUCGGUGUACGACCGAAGGAUCAAGACCUGACAGGUUGGAGUCCCGAGCGGAGAGCGCGUGUGUGGAGCUCGUAGUGUGAAAUUACUUAAAUGGUUUAUGGUCAAUAGUCUGUAACGAGAGGAUAUGCUGGAAUAUUCUCCCGCCGUCACGGGGUAUUCUUGUAAAAGGCUUGAACCGGCUUCCAUGCCCUAUAUAAAGGGAGUGUAAUUGCAUUUGGAGGAGAGAGAUCAUUUACUAUUCCUACCCUCUGUUGCCAACCACCGUUCUAGGGCAUUGAGCCAGUUGUCUACAUUGUCCUAGACCACUUAGGCCAGUUUCAAUGGAGUUUCAUGAGAGUUUCAUGCACAUUAAAUAUACUGAUGUGGCGUUAUAGUAAUGAAGAGAGAGAUGAUAAGAGUUUUAUGGGAGUAGAGAGAGUUUCAUCCCCAUAAAACUCCAAUGCACUGUUUCCAAAAUAUAGAUGUGUUGAAAACUGGGCUAUGAAACUCCGAUGACCUUACUGCAACCCGUGAGCGAGCUGCUUGUGCAUCGUGCUGCUGGGAGUGCAGGUGCACAUUUCCCAACACCUAGCAAGCAAGGGUCCUAUAGUAGCAUUAAAUCAUGUUCAUGCUUCAUUAGAGGUUGAUGAAUCAAUAAAAUGGAUUUAAUGUUGCGUUAAAAUAUGAUUAUGUUGCGUUAAAAUUGAUCUUGAGAAGAUCAAACAAAAAUAAAGACAGGCAAAUGCAAUUUUCUAGGUCAUCUAGACGUGAUUGAAGGUGGUCACAGGGUUUGUUGACUUCACUUGUAUUUUUCUAUAAUUUUAUUAUCAUAAAUGUUUUUACUUAUCUUGUGACCAGAGAUAUUAUGUUACUACCUGUAAUAUGGACUUUGCCAUAUCUUGAUUUUUUUUUUCGUCCUCCGCCACUGCCUACCAUGCCCCUAAAUCAAAUGUUAGGCCUUGUUUAGUUCCUAAAAUAUUUUGUGAAAUUUUUCACAUUUUCUAUCACAUCGAAUCUUGCGGCACAUACAUAGAGCACUAAAUAUAAAUAAAAAAAAUUAACUAAUUAUACAGUUUAACUGUAAUUUGCGAGACGAACCUUUUGAGCUUAGUUAGUCUAUGAUUGGAUAAUAUUUGUCAAAUACAAACGAAAGUGGUACUAUUUCUAUUUUGCAAAAAAAAAAAUUGGUAGUAAACAAGGACUAUGCAAGAGGGGAUUGAUCCAUCGCAGGCAAGCCACAUGGUAAGGCACAGCUCCAAACACAUGUGAAACCACGUGUUGUGGAUGUGCAACUGCCUCACUCCUUCUUCUUAUCUAUAAAUACAGCACACCCCCUCCUCAUUUCUCAGACACAAGUAAAGAGCAAAACAUAGCUGACCGUUCAAAGCAGCACACACACACUCCCUCCCUUACUAGCCAUGGCCUAUUGCGAAAUGGCUCCUUGUGCGCUAGCUCAACAUUCUGAGCUUACGAUGACUCUAUACACAAACAAGGAGGUGUAUUCUGGACCAGACCAAAAUGCAGCAACAAACACAGAAGGGUCAACAAUAAUGGGCAGAACCCAGGUCUACUCGUGGCCUGUAGCCGAUGGGGCAACUCCUGAUGCAAACAUCGUCGGCCAUCUCCAGGGCACUAGUGUUCAAGUAGCCAAAUCUCCCGCCGCGGUGUAUCACUACUCCCUGGGUUUAGUGUUCUCGGAUGAAAGGUAUGAGAAUAUAUAUGCGUCGUUAUUUAGUAGUACUUAAUUACACACAACUUCGUAUAUAUAGUACUUCCACAACCUCUCUCAAGUAGAACAUCAUGCAGUUAUUUUUUUCGUAGAUGCUACACAUGUGCUCAUAGGACCACCAGAGUUUAUUCAUUUGUUCAAUUCUCAUUUUUCAAGAUAAAAGCCUACUCACGGCAUUUUUUCGCUUUCUGUCAACAUACCUCAUGAUGUAUAUAUAUAUUGGUGAGAAAAGUUUAGACUGGUUAACGGAAAUUAACACAAGUAAUUAUUUUUCUCAUCGCGUGAUAUAUAUUGAUGAGAAAAGUUACUACAAUAAAACAUCACGUAAUCAUUUUGCGCACAAUUCAACACAGGUUCAAAGGGUCUACACUCCAAAUACAAGGGACUUCCCAAAUAAAUGGUGAGUGGGCCAUUGUUGGAGGGACAGGAGAACUUACUAUGGCAACGGGUACUGUCAAACGCACAACAGUUGUAGAGAAAGACUAUACCAGGAUCUCAGAACUCAAAAUACAUGCCUAUUUAUUUCGCUCCAGUGAAGCCUAGCUACUACGCCUAAUGUAAGUAAAAUACUCGAUUAUUCAUACGAGCAACUCAAAGAGUAUCUUUGUAGUCUUUCUAAUGCAUAUGAAUAGAGAUUUUGGUAAAAAAAAAACUCUCCAACCACUUCUCUAAUUAGGUGUCCAACUAUAGUCAUCCUCUAUUCUAGAUAUCUUGCUAGCUAAAGAUGGAGAGCGAGGGUGCCUCACCAGAGUGAGCACAAUAUAUAUAUUUAUUGAAGCUAUUCGAUGGUGGAAAGAUAUACAGCACGAAUUUUAUUCUAAUGACUCGAAAUGAUAAUUUAGAGAGUUAGUCUAAGAGAGUUUUGGAGAUUCUGUUAUAUAUGAAUACAUUUAAUAUUCCCUUGAUUUUAUAGUUGAAACUCCAGAUAUAUAGGGCAUAUUAUUCCCUUGAGUUUAAGAGAAAGUUUUGGAGUAGGCAUCUGUCUUUACUGUUGAAACUUUAGAUUUCCUAACUUGUACAUAUUCCCUUGAUUAAUCAUGUAUAUCCUUGUGUAGGUUUUUGAGACUUCUGAAUCCGAUUAAUAACCUCCAGAAGGCCGGAGCUUUAUGCAGUUGUUUAGACUAGUCUUCGUGCAUCCCAGACAAUAAAUGCCAGUAUCUGCACUUCGUCAGUGUUGGCUUGUUUCCUAAUAAAUAACUUGGACUUUGUAUCCGGUUCGUGUCAACUUGUAGUACUUUGCUAGCUGUAAGGGCUGUCGGUGUUGUUGUCACCUUGUACUGAGCUCUUUUGUAUUUCAAUAAAACUCCGUGUCAUAUCAUGUGUGUAUUCAUAAAUCAUAAGAUGUAUUUUAAGGCCUUUGCUUCUGAAAAAAUCUCUCUUUGUCCCUCUCACAUGCCGAUGUUUGGGCUGCAUCUUGUGGGCGCGAACUGGACCUAGUGGCUGCAUCAGCAGGAUCCGGCGGCUGGAAAUGCUCGUGCAUCAGUAGGAAUAGAGAGAGUUUCCAGCCGCCGGAAAUAUAUACUGAUGUGUAUUUACACUACAACAUGACCUUUUAUACAAGGCAUUUAAAAAUGCCUUUAAAAGUGUUCAGAAUGUCUUCAAAGACCUUUUUAGGCAUUUUCAAGAAUGCCGGCUAUAAACUGGACUCAAAAGGUCUUUUGAGGCAUUUUUUAAAACGCCUUUCAAUAUCAAUAUAUAAAGGCAUUUUCUAGCUGCCUACAAUACUUUUUAAAGGCAUUUUCUAUAAGCCUUCAAACAUUUGUGAAGGCGUUAUUAAAAAUACCUCCAAUCCAACUCAUACAUGCAGAAAUUUGCUAGUAAUUAAUAUCAAAACAACAUAAUCCAUCGAGAAAUUAACCAAUGAAAGCACAAGUUAAUAGCACAACCCAAACAUUGGCAUAUAUACACAGUUACAUUUGUAAAUAAACAAAAUCAAUAAGGCAGAAAAAUAAUCAAAUAUCAUCUUCCAUUAUGUUUGGUACUCGAAUACAGAUUUUUCCUAGUUGGUUCAAAGGCAGAUGCUUCAUUGUCUUUACAUCAACAAUUUUUGCUUCAACUCCCGAGACAAGUGCUCCAGUUGAACCAAACUGAUGGGCAUGGCCCUUUUGCAGGUACUCUACGGAUAUUAUCCGGCAGGUUUCAGUCAUACCAUAACCCUGCAAGAGGAGCACCUCUGAGUUUAUUGGUAACAUCAUUGUCAUCAUCACUCUCGAUAAAAAAAUGGCAGCAAAACUACAAAGACAAUCGUAAAGAAGUAAACAUUUUCCAGCAUUUUAAACAGCAUGGGGACUAUAUGUCUGGUCUAAAGGUAAAACAGGAUGCACACAAACUAUACAUGUUCAACGCAGUUAGCACUGUGUUGUUUUAGUAAUCACCUAAACCUGUCACAAUUCUAAAUACAGGGCUUCCGCAGCUCAUUAGCCUGCAGAAGAGCAACAACGUUACCGUUGUUCUUUACAAUCACAACUGAGCACACCAUUCAGUUCCUAGAUUUCAUUUUUUUUGUUGGCAUACCAAAACCUAGCAUCAGUUCCAAAUCAGCAUGUCAAAAUAUGCCACAUUAAGCCUAAUAAAAGAAAAGGUAGUACUAGUAGUACUCCUCUCUAGUAUCUUUCUCCUCCCCACAUCUCAAAUAAGUGCAUUUCUAGAAUUCUUGAUAACAUCAAUGCUACAUGGAAAUUACAUAUUUAUUCAUAUAAAAAAACUGAGUUGUAUAAAGGGCAAAAUUACACAAUAUAACAGAAAAGGGCAAAAUAACCGUUGCACUCAGGGCAGUCUCUGAUAGUAGGAAGCUUGAUAUUUUCCUCCCAACAAUGGAUGAAGAAUGGACAGUUCCAAUGAUCCCUAUGCCGAUCCCACUCCUGUCGGCGUCUUUCUUUUUCCCGUCGAUAAUCUUCCUGCUGGCGCCGAUACCGAUUUUCCCGUUGUUGCCAAUGUUCUCGAGGCCUUCUAUGAGUUAUGACGAUACCAGAUCGAGGAAGUCUUCCUAAGCUGGUCCCUUCCUGGACCAAGCCUUUACUUCUUGCAUCGGCAGUAGUAACUUGAUGCUGAGGAUCUACCGAUGCACUCUUUUCAGCCGUCUCUGAUGUUAAGACCCGAGCCUUUCCCUUAGCAUCCAACAUGUUUGUCGGGAAAGGAUGUUGAUCUAUCUUCAUCGGCUUCUGGGCUUUGGAACUGUCAAACUUGAUCCUCCCUGACUCUAUAGCCGAUUGCAGCUGCUGUCUGAAUACUUUGCACUCGUUGGUGUCAUGUGAAGUUGCAUUAUGCCACUUGCAAUAUCUCAUCUUCUUCAACUCUUCUGCCGAUGGGAUCACAUGAUUAGGUGACAGUUUGAUUUGACCUUCCUGAAGUAGAAAGUCAAAUAUCCUAUCGGCCUUGGUGGUGUCAAAGGCAAACUUCUCUGGCUCCUUUUGCCCAAAAGGACAAGACAUCGGCUUCUUAUUUUUUACCCACUCUGCCAAACCGAUUACUGGUUCUUCAUCAGAAUCUGAGCUUGUUGCUUCAUCGACAAAUGAAACUUUCUUAUUCCAUGCUCUUUUAGGCUCGAAAGGCUUGAUAUCUUGGUCGGAAAUCCUCUCCACCAAAUGACUUAAACUUUCGAACUCCUGAGAGGCAUACUUAUCCCUGAUAUGUGGUAACAAACCCUGGAAAGCCAAGUCGGCUAGCUGCCGAUCAUCCAGAACCAGGCUAUAGCAUUUAUUCUUGACCUCUCGUAUCCUCUGCACGAAUCCCUCAACCGACUCAUCAUUACGUUGCCUCACCUUGACCAAGUCGGUGAUCUUCUUCUCAUGAACCCCCGAGAAGAAGUAUUUGUGGAACUGCUUCUCUAGAUCGGCCCAAGUAAUUACUGAAUUGGGAGGUAAUGAUAUGAACCAAGUAAAGGCCGAUCCGGACAAUGAUGAUGAAAAUAGACGAACCCUCAAUUCGUCCCUGUUACCAGCCUCUCCACAUUGAAUAAUGAACCUGUUGACAUGCUCCAUGGUUGACGUGUCGUCCUGUCCGGAAAACUUUGUAAAAUCCGGUACCUUGUACCGAUGUGGAAGCGGGAUCAAAUCAUACGCGGGAGGAUACGGCGUCCGAUAAGAGUAAGUGUUGACUUUGGGUUUUAUCCCAAAUUGUUCCUUCAUUACUUCAGCAAUCUUGUCGGCCCAAUAAGCAUCGGCAUCUUGCCGAUGAGGCUGCUGCGGAUCCGGCGCCUGGUGGCGAACCUCCACGUGUCUGUUUGGGACGUGACCUGUAUGGAACAUCGUAUUGGUCACCUGCCCUCCAACCUGCGAACCACCAAACUGCUGUCCACCGAUUGGCUGUCCUCCGAGUUGCUGUCCAAAAUUUAUUGGCUGGUUGGGAAUUCCCUGACCUUGGAACCCGGGAUAAACCUGUCCUUGCUGGAACCCCGUAGUCUGAUAACCCUGCUGGGGCGACUGUGGAAAGGCUUGCUGUCCAAGCCAUCCAUGAUUAGCGUUCAUCGGCAUAGGUGCUGCCGAUGAUUGGUAAUUGGGUAUCGUCGUUGAAUUGACAUACCCUGACUGGGCCAUAGGCCUCUGCUGCAUCAGCAUUGACUCUGCCGAUGCGUUGGGCAUCUGGAACAUUGAAUCUUGAGGAUUUCCAGUAUGAGGCCUCGCAGUAGUAGUUGUGGUAUACCGAGGACUCUGGUUCACCGGUACAUUGGAAGGUGCCGAUGUCACAGGAGUUUUGCCCCUCAAAUCAGUUAUCUGUGAUGUUCCUGGCGUCAACUCUGGAGGCAUACCAUAACCCCACCAGUUGGGAGGAAGAGUUAACCCCGACAUUGCCGAUGCCAACAUAUCUGUUGUCAGUUUAUGCUGCCCAACUGAAAUUUGUGGGUUGGUUACCAUCGGCAUAGAUAGUGCACCAGUAGUCCCCAAUGUACUUGGAGGGACGGCAGACUGUGCACUUGCACUCGUCAAGGCAGCCGAUGGAGCCGUAACCUCUGGCGCUGUGGGUUGAUGAUGGGAAGGGCCCACAUAAUCCGGCGGGAUUUGUCCUUCCUUGAAGGUUCUUGCCACGGCGUUGAAAACCGUAUUAGACAGCACACCAGCUUGGUUGAUCAGCGCUCGAUUGAUAGCAUUGUCAACCAUGUCUUGAAGCUUGCCAGGAUUGGCGUCAAAAGUGACCUGCCGUGGUGCCGGCAGUGCAUCUUUCUGGACCACUUCGCCGCUCCUGUUUAUGCUGAAAGAUUUCAGGCAUUGCUGCCUGAACUCUUCCAUGGCUUGGGCAAUAGCUUGCUUCUGCUCAUCCUUGAGGUUGGCUUCCGUCACGGGGAUGACGUUGUCUUGAUCGAGGUCGGAGAUCGACAUGCUGGUCUUGAUCUUGAAUCUGUCCCACUGGGCGUGCCAAAAGAUGUGUUGAUGCAAAACUGAUCUGCAAACACAAAGGGCUAAUACCCGAUUGAAACGUUAAGGCGUGCCAGCCGAUUUAACCUUACUAUCGGCAAAGGUGAUAACUCGAAUACUUUAGUCCUGACAACAGCGAUGCGCCCGGAUGUCACGGCUAAGAGGUAUUCACGCGGAACUUGAGAACACGCCGAGCUUAAGUCGACGAAUUCCUAAGAACUCGUAGUAAAAAGGAAAAAGUAUGACGAAGUCGUCGAAAAAGUAGAUGCUGGAAUAUAAGUAAAAACGUGUAUUUGAUUGAUUGAUGGAUGUUCUCAUUACAAGAUCCUAGGGCUUAUAUUUAUACCCUGCUCAAAGAGCUACGACCAGACACGAUUAGAAUUCGAAUUCCAAAUUACACGGAACCCGUAUACAAAACGAUGCGAAUAACUAAGGAAAUAACAAUAAAACCACCCUUCGUGACAAACCGAAACUCCUCCACAUGACAACUGGCAGCUUCCGGACUCCUCCUUCGCAUCAUCGGCAAUCUCCUUGCCAUGGUCAUCGGCAGACCCUUUUACUUGGUUAUCGGCACCAUAUUACUGCCCGAGUAUUUAGUCACAUUCAUCCUUUCCCUCAUCGGCAACCAUCCUUAUCGGCAACCCGCAUCGUACUGCCACCUUAUCCUGCCAUCUUAGACACGUGUCCAAAAACGGUGUCAACAAUCUUGUUAAUUGCUACAUUUUUCCACAAAAAGUUCAAACUUUUGUGCUUCUAAUAUCUAUCAUGAACUCUACUUUUGUCAUUUCUAAAAAUAAUAAUUCUAGGCCAUAGAUUGCACUCUUAAGUGCAAUUAUGACAUAAAAUAUAGUUUAAAACAAGCACCAUAUUGCAUAAGAUCAGUGGUAGAGCUUGAAGUAAGAUUUAAGAUGGAGCAGUGGUACUAAUCUCAAGAAGAUAUUAAUACCUAAGCUUUAUAAUAACUAUUUACUCUAAAGGAACCUUAAAUAACAAAAAGUAUGGUCACCUGUUGUUAGGGUUGUAAACCCAUGGUAUCUGAAGGCAUCGAUUAGGUAGCAAGCCACACGCGGCCCGCAAUACACUAGCUAGUUAAAGCCCAAAUGACUGAGGCCUAGAUAUGCCAAGCACGUUAGGCCAACGCCUAGGCCAGGGUUGGCCACGACCGCUUCUCCUGUCUUAGCCAUGCGACACAUGCAUGACCUCUCCCUCGUCAUGACCUCCAAAAGGGAUGAGAAGCAGUCGAGUGUAGCCAAACACGCCUGUCCUAACAAGAGCGAGCAUGACACACUAACCCAGCAAGAAUCGAGGUGACAUCAGUCACCUUAGCUCGGUCACAUGUCAUCCAUAUGCCACGUUGCAUCAAUAAGACAAUACCGCACGGUGGUGAUGAUGGGUACGAUACCCACCAUCCAUAUACGGACCAACAAGACACGCGUACGACCCCACCCACUACGGGAUUGGAUCCACUAUUAAGGCCUUGACUUAAAGGCCAUCUAGACUCGUUGGGAGCCACGACCUCACCGAUCGAGAUCGUGGCCCUCAGCACUCCAAGAUGACAAGGCAACCAACGACCCCGAGGUGGCUACCAACUCCUGCACGACGCCUCGGGAAACUAGGAUACAACGAUGGACACCACGUUGCACGAAGGCUAACGAACUACAAUCACGGCUAUAGUAUCUCCAUGAGUGGCACAGUAGCACCAUGUUAGACUCUGGCGCGACGUGGCCACAAGACCAUGACGAUAGCCAUGCCAGGACGUGCAUCAGAAGAUGGUGCAACUUGCAAGCCAAGUUAGCUAGGAUCUCCUCCUUGUAAUAGCCCAAGCCCUGAACUCUAUAUAAGGGCAGCUAAGGCACACACAUUCUUACCAUUUCCAUUCAUCCAACAUAGUUGUAGGGCUCCUAGAGCUUCCCGUCGAGCUGUCCCUCAUCAAGCAUAGGUUUUACCGCCUCUUUCACCAUUCUUGCACACCCCAUUUUUAGAACUUCACAACAUUCAAAGCAAGAAUAACAUCUCUAAGAUUGGAUGUAGGGCUUCGGCCUUAACCAAUAUAAAUCCUCGUGUCUAUUAAAUGCCAGCGCGGUAAUCAUAUAAGUUUACUAGUCCGGUUUAUGAAACACCGACACCUGUGAUGCGCACUAACCCUUAUUUUCAAGAAUUUGAAUUCCUGAUCAAGAAACUACAUGUGCAGUAAUGGCUGUCAAUAUAUAUAAAUAUGUCAAAUAUUCUUUUAAAAUGUAUAAUAUAUCUAAAGUAACAACUUAUAUAAACUACAUAUCAUGGAUAUCAAAAUAUUUUUUAUAUAAUUUUUAGCAUGAUUAGAAUAUGAACUAUUAAGGAAAUAUUUUUCAUGAUAGCUAAAACAUAACCUAUAUAUUAAUCUUAUAUUCAGGCAUGCGAAGUUGAUCUAUAAGAUGGUACAACAUGUAUGUAGCUUUAGUCAAAUGUUAAUAUAUUAAUAUUAAUACAAGUGGAUAAUGUUGAAAAUGUAUUUAUUUAUUUUCUUUUACGUUAUUUAUACAUUUUUUGCAAUCGAUAAUGUUGAAAAUGUAGAGGUACAUUCCAUAAGAUUUUUAGCUUCUUAAAUAAUGAGAAAAUUUUUAAUUAAGAUGGAAAUACAUAGAUUAUCUAUCAUAGCAGUAGGUGUGUAAUUUGAUGAAAAUUUACCGUUCUUUGUAGAUUAUCUACACUAUAUAUAAAACCUUAAGCGUACAUUUCAACUAAAUACAUAUCACACAAAAUGUCCAUAGAUAUAUGUGAGAAUACAUGGACUAUGUGGUUAUACUUAUUGUAUAUACUACAGUAGUGACAUUUUAGUAAUAUAUUAAAAAUAUAUGGAUUUCUUCAAAUUUUUAGCAUGGUAAGAUCUAGAGUAUCUUAAUAUGAGUCGUAUAUAAAUAUACUCGACAAACAAGUAUGAACACAACAUAAUGAUAUAAGGAAAUUACUUCGUACUCUUAGGAGUAGCUACUCCCAUGUCUAUAUCUCUAAAUUUAGGGUGUAUAUGAUCGGACGAAAUGUAUGUAGACGAAGUAUAUGAUCAUUCCACAUAUAUAUAUAUAUAACAUGCUUUAUGGAUAUUGGAUUAGUUUUCAUAAAAGUUUAAGCAUAUACAUGUAGAAUAAGAUAUUUUUGUUCAUUUUAUAUAAAAACAUAUAUGGGCAAUUUUGUUAAAAAUUAAAAGCUAGUACAUUAUAUUAACCUAUUUCAUAAUAGCAAAGGUACAAAUGUAGAGGUUAGGUGGAAGUAUCUUUCGUAAUGGUAUACAUGGGUAAUUUUGAUGCUAAUUCAGAGGAUUAUUUAGUACUAUCUUUUAUAACAAUAAAAGUGGAUAAGUUAGAUAUACGUUUUAAGGCUACUUUUAAUUAUGUUUCAUUCUGUCGAAGUGGGUAAUUUAGAGUCAAGAUGAGAGGGUUACUUCAUUCUAUAUUUAUAAUGGUACCUGUGGGUAGUUUGUUUUUAUAAAUUAGAACGUAAGGUGUCUAUUGGAGUCCCGAAUUAGUUAUAGUAAGAUAAGAUAGGUUACUUUAGUUUUAUUUGUAAGUCAGAAUCUUUAACAGAUCAAGUUUUCAGAAAAUAUAUCUAUCAUUCCUUGAACUAGGAAUCAUGUUUCUUAACAAAAUCGUGAUUUCAUAUUCAAACAAAAUAACUAAACAGGCUCAGUGCCCUCAUUAAGAUUCAGCUAUUUGCACCCCUAAGACGAACUAUACUGUUGCAUGUGUCGUAUUGGGUAACUGCACAUGCCGUAAAUUCCAUACCUUCCGAAGAAUCCCUUUAUGUUCUUGAUGAGUAUAUUUUCUUCCUCUUGCAGUUUAUUCAAAGUUUCUGUGUCUUUCUUUUGCCUGCGAACAGUUUCAGGAGGUAUACUCUGUUACAACCUCAUUCUAAAAUAUAUUUCCUAAGUUUUAUUAACAUAUCUUAUUAGAUUUGUCCGAAGUCAAACAUUUGCAUCUUGAACCAUCAAUUUCAAGAAAAGUUAUAUAGGUCAAACCUAUAAGGAUUUUUUGGAAAUGGAUGGUUAAUAAAGUUGCUAAUAUUUGAUUUAGGGCAAACCUAAUAUGACAUGUAAUAAAAAAGAACAGCAGUAUAGGUUGAAAAAGCAAGGGCUGUGCUAUAUGCAUACUCGUCAUUAGCUUUGCGGAGUACAUCUUCGCAGAGUAUAUCUUUUAUGGCUUUGAUGAAGGAAGAAUAAUGACUGCCCCAUUCCAAUGCAACCGUGUCAGCUAGACUGUUGGUUACUACUUUUCUGCAUACACAAAUUUGUUGGUCUGUACGUAUUAUUAACUGUAACAGAAACAAGGAGACGAAGACAUAAGGCUGUGUGACACUGAAUAUGAAAAGUUGCAUAUAUACCUCUUAGUGAUGGCAGACACCAUGACUUGAGUACAAAGACUUGUCAAAACUCGCGUCACGUUUGGCCUUCUCGACAAUGAAACAAAGGCAUGGCUUUUGAAUUUCUUUCUGAUUCCUUGGUACACUUGGUCAGCAAGUGUGGUUUUGCCCAUCCCUGCAAAUCCUACAAUGCAUACAGUGUGGUGCUCUUCCAGCAAUCUUAUGAGUUGAUAUUUCUUCUCAUCCAUCUCCACGAGCUCUGACGCAUCGUGGUGGAUAAAUUCAGACAUUAUUGGGUCAACAUUCGGCUCAGCUGGCUGAGGAUGCUCCGAGAUGGUUCUUCCCAGAGUCUUCCAGUCCUCCGAGCACCGGUUGAUCAAUUUUUGCACCUCAUUCUUCAGCUUCUCGAAUGGGUUUACUGCGUCGGUUUUAGGCUGUGUGAAGGCGGAGCUGUCAGCAAAGACGCCGCUGUCGAUGUCUUCCUCAACACUGUAGGACAGCUUCCGUGCUUCAGCCAUCCAUUCGUUGCACACUGAAUCAAGACGAAGAUCCUCCCUGUCCCAUAUCGUCAGAAGGAGAGAGUACAUGGAGCUCAGCCGUGAUUUGACGAACUGGAUGUCUUCACGCCACCUCUCGAGAUGAGCAAACUCAGUCCGGUCAUCCAGCAAGUUAGUGAGCUUGCUUAUGACGGGUUCCAAGGCUCCCGUCGCUGCAGUCACGCGAUAUCGCUGCUCCAUCGUCUCUGCUAGAUCCUCUUCGCACCUCCCACUAGAUACGAUCGAGCACAGUGGCUUCGUCAGCCUAAUUAAGAGAGUAAUGUAUAUUAGUGCUAAAUAUCAGAAAUACUCUGCGUUGAGCAUCUCCAACAAUUUGGUAUAUGACUUGCUAAACUUUAAAAUUUAGCAAAACAUAGAAAAAAUGUUCUCCAACAGUUUGCUAAACUUGCUUGCCAUCUCAUCCCACUUGCUAUCCAUGCGAGCCGCGCGCGUAUAUUUACACGCGUGUAUCCGGCUUGCCAUCACUCACCCGCGUCUGUCGGAGCUUUUUCUCGGCCCAUAUCCCGCACACCGCAUGCAUCCACUUCCACGCGCCAAAGGACGGAGCGUCGAUGAUGGCCUGGUGAUUAUGACAGCUGAUGGGACAGAGCUCCACGCUCCUGCUGAUUAGAGCUCAGGCAUAGAUACGACAAGAAAAGUAUAAUAAAAAAUUGAUGAAAUAUGGACCAUGAAAUCAUUGCAAUGGUUCACCGAUUACAUCUGAUGAAAUAUAAAUAUAUAGGUAAUAAAAAUCAUAGCUAAUAAACCGAUUACAUAUAAUUGUUCAAUCUAUAAAUGUAUAUACCAUAUAAAUUCAUAUAGCAUAGGAGUAUAAAUCUGGAUGAUGGUUCUAUAGGUGCUCGAUAAGGUCUUCUUUUCAACUGUUGAUGUGUCUCCUUGUUUCUAAUCUGUCUAUGUGCGUCAAUAUAUUCUUCAAGUAUACGAAAUGCUCGUUAGGGUCGAUCCCGACGAAACGAGCCGGCCCCGACGGAGUUCCUGUGGCACGACGGGAGGAGGUCUUGCAGCGGUGCGACGGGAAGGGAGGGAAGGCGCCAGGUGACCUGUUCAUGCGAUGGAAGGGGAAGAACCAGGGUCGCGGUGAAGGGAAGGCAUCGAGGUACCGGUCAACAACCGAAUCUGGUGAGCCAUCUUUUUUUUUUAUUUGGCAAGUGAAAUAUAGCAAAUUGUUGGAGAUGACCUCUUUUCAACUUGGUAAAUAAUUAUAACAACUUGCUAAAACACAAGAUUUGGCAAAUGAGAAAUAACAAACUGUUGGAGAUGCUCAGGAGGAAAACAAAUAGCAACCAACGUCCAUAUGACACGGGAUGAUAAUUAGCCAGUCAGCCUCUAUAAAUUUUUUCUCUCGUUGCAAAGCAUAGACACAUGUUCUCAUAAAUAUCAUAAUUUUAGUUUUCAUGUUGUCCAUGUAUGGUACAAUUAAAUUAAAUAUCAAGGUGCUCUAGAGUAGUCUCUUUGGGAUUCAUUUGAAGCCCAUAUAAUGUGUAAUUCAAAUCUCUGAUCAAGUCAGUAGGGAGUUAUGCAUCGACAUGUCAAGAACUGGUCAUUCCAUUGAUUGUUAUGAUGGGAGAGGUACCUCAAUUUUUUUAUGUAGGCACUCUCGUUGGGUAUUACCCUAGUCCAUGCAUAUAACCUAAACACAAUUUCAUUUACGGCGCACUGGACAGCAAACUUCUCAGCAUUUCAGUUUAGUGUCUGAUUAGUUGGACCAUUGGCCUUUCUUAUAUAACAAGCCUUUCCAUCCGGGGGCAGGUCGGUCUAAGGCCCGUCGUUGGGCGGACGAGGACAUCAUUGACGCCCCCGACUCACACAUGGCGCCAAUCUCCUACCCGGAUGCGCUUCGUCGUGCGUUGCUGCCGCCGCGGCCCGAGCCACCCUUGACGCACACCAGACAUUCAUCUUCGGGCCAUGCUGGCGUGGUGCCGGGCCGAAGAGGUGGGAAGCGGCGUCGGCCGCGGCGUCCACAGCUUGCAUGGCAUGCCCAUUCAACCAUUGGAGGGCCAUAUCCUGGCACGUCAGCGCCUCGGACGUCGUGGGCGGAGGUGGUGUGAUAGGCCGCGUCCACAGUUGCUGUGUGGCCUACCUGUAUGGUCUGUGGAGGGUCGCACCCCUCGCCAGCGCCGCCGUUGUCGGAUCUCCGCCCUUGACGCCGACGGGUGGCGGGAGGUACUCCAACGACAGCAAAUGGGGUCGGCUACCACCUCGGUUGUGUCUCGCACCGGUCAGUUGCAGUUCCAGUAGCCUCGAAAGAUCCCCGCGGAGCGUUUUGGGAGAUGCUUCAACUGUCUAUCCGCUAUUCACCAAGUAGCGACUUGCCGGUUACCUCGGCACUGCCUACGUUGUCACGGUCUCCACCACCUUGCCAGGGACUACAAACGCCCUAGGCAUGCUGUGGCACCCUAGCAUGUGUCCCGCAGCUCGACUUGCGCGGGGGGCCUGUGCAGGUCACCGUGGACUGUGCGGGCAUCGGGGGAAGACGGCGACAUCGACGACCACCACAACCAUGAGGAAAGCUGGCGAGGGCUGCAACCUCUAGCGGCAAUAGCAACGCUGCUACUACCAUCGAAGCCCGUGGCUCCCCUGUGCCAGACCUCGCGGGGAUGGAACCGCUCAGGAGCUCGAUGCCACCUGUGUGGAUCGACCCAAUGCUUGAGGAGUUCGGUAUCUUACUCUAGGUUGCUACUUCCUCGGUGACAGUUGCUCCGCGCACAGCAGACUCGUCAUCGCCUGUGCAGGCCGUGCCUCCUCAAAGACACUCUCGUUGUGCUGGUCACGGAGGCGCCCCGCGGCGGGCCCUUCGCUACCGAUGGACGGUCUGAUGGCCGAUCAAGCCACGUCUGGCUUCAGCGACGCGGCGCCCACGUCGGGCGAGGCUACAACCCCGUCUCAGCCACGGUGCCAGAGUCGGCGCUGCUGAUGCCUUCUCGUGCGAGUCAGCUUGACGUCGCGUGUGGGGACGAGACGCCGACGCCGCUCGAUGCCUUGCAAGCUUUCUUGACAAGGUACGAGUCGAGCAGGAACCGCCCCUGAUCGCCUCCCCUCCACAACAGAGGACGGCUGUCAGGAGGCCCCCGCCUGUACGGCCUAGGAGCAGUUGGAUUGCCGCCCAACCGUUGGCGCACAUCCCGGCCUCCAAGCGAGGCGAGGUUCUCCUAAACAGACGGCUAGGGAUCGCUCCACCGACCUCACCGGAUUCGCCUGUGCCAAGAGGGAUAUUCGACGCCCUGCGUACUAGGACCUUGUCGUCGAGUGAGGUGGAGGGCCUGGACGCGUUGUUCCCAGCGUUGAACGGGCACGCGCGCGCAAGCUCUUCUGGGAGGACUCGACGUUGAGCGUAUUAGGGUUGAUCCAUUUAUGUAAUAUCGGUCCACAGAACGAUCACCUAGCGCGUUUGUUGUGCAUUGGUUGUAUUAUAAACUCUUUCUUUCUUAAUAUAAUGAUAUGCAGAUCUCCUGCGUAUUCGAGAAAAAAAAUGUUUCCAGUAAGAAUUGCACGAGUAAUUUGUUGGUACAAAUUUUGGUUUGUUAGGGAAGUGUUAAGUGCUCCACGGCCUUAAGAUGGGUAAUUUGUUUUUUAAUUUAUUAUAUAUGUUUAUUGGAACAUGGCAAAGAAAGAUGAAUGGUAAAAAAUGGUGGCAGAAAAAAAAAUCCUUGGAGGUAACAAGGAGCAGGAGUUAAAAAAAACCAGGGCACUCAGAUCGGACAGAACAGAAACAGAGGAGUAAAAAGAAUCGGAACACAUGGGCCUUGUUUAGUUCCGAAAACUUAAAAGUUUUCGAAACUUUAGCACUUUCGUUUUUAUUUGACAAACAUUAUAUAAUCAUAGAGUAACUAGGCUUAAAAGAUUCAUCUCGUGAUUUACAGGUAAACUGUGCAAUUAGUUUUUAUUUUCGUCUAUAUUUAAUACUUCAUGCAUGUGGCGUAAGAUUUGAUGUGACGAAGAAUCUUGAAAAGAUUUUGUUUUUGGGGUGAAGUAAACAAGGCCAUGGAUAGAAACGCUCAAAUCAAACAGAACGAAGACGCUGUAAAAACUGACGGACAAUGAAAUUUGUCUACUUUUAUACGAAGUAAGAUAUAUACUGGAAAAUCUCUGACCUAGCUGGUAUACCUAUAGAAUCAUUAUGUACUAGUAGGUUAUUGGAAUUUCCGGUUGUUUUCGGUGUGACGGAUCGGAAGUUGCGGAUAAUAUAAGAGCGUUAUUAUUGUUGUCUGUUGGAGAUGGAGAGGAGCAAGCGAGGCUAUGGUUUUAAUUUGGGGAGAGAAGGACAUGAUGGAUGAGGCAUGCAUCCGACUCACCUUUCUCACAGGGGAAGCAUGUGUUUCAUCAUUGAGGUUGGAAUGGAACAUCAAAACCAUGGAGUAGUAAUAAUAAGCACCUACAACAGACCAACAAUAUAAUCCGUUUGCAAUAUCUGGUGAAUGCAUGAAUGAAAAAUAGUGUGCGUAGUAUAUACGACGCAAGCAAUUUUGCUCAGUCAGUCAAGCACAAAAGUUAAGAUCUAGCUUAAUUAGUGUCAUGAGAUGGCAUUGUAUUCCAAUCGUUAGACAAUAGAAAAUAGACCACAUGUAUAUAUUGCACUGAAAUAUAUAGGGACGAAGAGGGGAGAUUAAUUAGCAAUGGAAAUUCCAAGUUAGUUACGUACCUUAUUAUUAGCUUGCUCAGGUACUGUGCGCUCUGGGAGAGAAUGCAUGGUCGUUUUGUUCACCGGGCAAGAACAUGGGCGACGACCAUGUUGUUAGCUAGCUGGGUCGUCAGAGCUGCCAUUGGCAUUGUGAGGAAAGAAGCCGUUGUUAUCAGAUCGGCAUAGGAGAAGCGGAGGACGCGAGAUGGGGGCAAGAGGGGAGACUGGGAACCUUGGGUUUGCGGAUCGGACCUUGGGUUUCGGGACCAGACUGGGAACCUGCUCCCUUGCAUAAUCAAUUAGGUCAGUGUCAAUGUACUCCCUCGAUACCCAUAAUUCUUAACGUUUAUGAUAUAAUUGUGAUAACCAAAGAAUGAUUAGGUCAGCCUGAGGCCCUGGUGGGCGUGGGUUGGCGCAUGCAAGCGGGAUUUCUGGUGACAACUCAUUUUUGCCAGGGGUAAAUAGGUCCAGCAGUAUCAUGCAUGGCUAGACGUCAAGUUUUUUAAAAAUGCUCAAGUUGUGUAGAACGUCAAUUAAAAUAGGUAUGGAGGAAGUAUAAUUUUAUGACACAGUUACCAAGACUAUAAACUAGGUAAUAUAACCGAGCCACAUUAGUUUCAUAGGGAUGAAACUUUCUCUCUCAUCUAAUAAAACUCCAUUUUAAUGACUAUGCCAAAUUAGUAAUUUCACUUAUGUAGCACCCUAUUUAAUAUGUAUGACACUCUCAUGAAACAUAUAUCGAGACUAGCUAUGCAUCAGAGUGAACUGCAGUGCCGAAAACAAAGGAUGUACUACGUAGAUCUCCAAGCAUGUACUUCCUCAGUAUUGAAUUUAGAAGUGGAGGGUAGCGAUAUUGUCUUCAGGAAACACAACUUUGACCUCUUAUUUUUAUAAAAAUAUUUAAAAAAAUGAUAUAUGUAUAUUUUUUAUAAAAGUAUUUUUUAAAACAAAUCUAUUUAUAUAGUUUUUAUAUUUCUAACUCAACAAUUUAAAAGUUAUUAAUGAUUUAUAUUUCUAAUAUUUGACUUUUUAAUAUUUGACUCAAACUUUGUCUAAAAUAACUUCUAAGAGCAAGUACAAUAUUAAUGGGCUUAUAGCCAAGCUAAAGCUUAUGUGGAGGAGAUAAGAGAGGAGAGAGAUAGUAGCUUGGGCCUUGUUUAGAUUCGAAAAGAUUUUAGAUUUUGACACGGUAGCACUUUCGUUUUUAUUUAACAAACAUUGUCCAAUCAUGGAGUAACUAGGCUUAAAAGAUUCGUCUUAAGAUUUACAGACAAACUGUGUAAUUAGUUUUUGUUUUUAUUUAUAUUUAAUGCUCCAUACAUGUGCCGCAAGAUUCGAUGUGACAGGAAAUUUUGAAAAGAUUUUAGAUUUUGGAGUGAACUAAACAAGGCCUUGGCUCUUAUGUAAGCAGUAGCACCAAACUGGGCACGAAUGUAUAAGUUGGUAGGGUGAGAAGGAAUAGAAAAGAGAAGAAAUUUUAGAGACAAGUAUGAGACAACUUAUUGUAUAACUUGGCUCUAAUCACUUGGCUUAUAGCCAAACAUUUGGCUUUAUUGUUGAUCGAAUAUUUAUUAUCAUAGAGAUGUGUGCCAGCUGUACUACCUACUCAAGUUAAAAGUCUUCAAUUCUUAGAGCAAGGGCAAUGUAUAUGGACUAGUUGGUCCAUAAAGGUGGGUCCCGUGUCAGUUGUCCAUAGCUAUGUAUUUCGCUACAACGUGAGUCCAUUAGAUGAGCCUCUCUUGGUAUAAAAAAUAUUAAAAAAUUAAUCAAGUUGCAGCCAGCUUCUUCCUACGUGCAGGUGAGGUGAUUGGGCCGAGCAGAUCUUGCACGCAGAGAGCAGAAACACUGAAACACAGAGAGAGAGAGUAAUAUUUUUUAUUGCUUAUGGGCAGUCCAUAAGACUAUGGUCGACUUUAGCUAUGGACUACCUUAUAGACCAGUUCCACAAUGUUUUAGCUACCUGAUAUUGAAUAUUUAACUUCCUAUGGACUGGUUUCAGACAACAUUGUGGUUGCUCUUACACUAGGGUGGGCAUCAUCGCGAACGCGUGGACGAUGGGAGUGAGGGCCCCCUAAAAUUUAAGUGCUGGGACCAUGGGAGACUGCUGAGCAACAUACACAAGCCGACGAGGCGACGACCACGACCACCACACCCUAUUGUCCAACGACAACAGUACGGUGCUAUUGUCCAAUGCUGGAACAACACGUUCGUACGUUUGCAUCUUAAUUAAUAAUUGGCGGCACCAAAUGAAGUCUCUAUGUUAAUUUUCGUAAGGCGCGUUAGAUAAAAAAAAUGUUUAGUGUUAGAAAUUCUCACGAAAUAUCUAUCCAUCAAAUCUAUAGGCUCUCGUGAUCUGCAACCAUUAGAUAUAAUUUUAUUUUCUACAAAGUUAUUCACCACUUCCAUAAUUAUCUAUACUACAAAGGAGUAAACGAAUUGAAAAAUACCUGUCACCUAAAAACAUCAUUUAUUGAUUUGUUUGUUCGAUUUGAACCGGAGGUCCCUGGAAAGGACAAGGAAGCAAGCCACAUUGUUGAUUGAGUUGAUAUAAAAUAUCUGCAAGUGCAGUCGAGAAAACAAAGGAUGGAGUAGUUUCUCAAGGAUGUAGCAGCAGGGUAGGUUGUGUAUGUCGCUAAUCAUAUGAAGAUAAUAUGCUUGCCAGCUGCAUUAGCUACUCAAGUCAAGUCUUUUGUUCUCACAUCAGACAAGGGAGUGAGGGUCGGCAUCUACGCGAGCGAGUGUGGACGACGGAACGGGCGGCCGGUGGCCAUGAGGGCCCCCGCAAAAUUAAAGGGCAGCUGGGACCAUGGGAGAAGCUGGCAGGGAUCUGUCACACCCAUAUUUUAAGAACAAUAUAGAAUGUAUAAAAGACUCAUAUGUGCUCCAGAAAUAAUCACACACAUAAGUAGACAAAUCUCAAAAGUACCAUUGCAGUGUUUAUUACAUAGCGGAACAUAAUAAAUCACAUAGUCUUAUACAAAAAUGAUAGCAUAAAGUAAACAACGCUCUCGACGGAAGCUCCACAUAGGGACACUGUUGACUGGUUGACUCCAAACCUAGUACUCAUAGCGAUAAUCCUCAUUCCAGUCAUCUUCAUUAUCAUAUCCUGAGGUGUUGGAAAAUUGCAAGAGUGAGCACAUAUCGUACUCAACAAGUAUAACCAGGGGUUCAUGAGGCUCAAAUAGCUGACACUGGUUUGACUGCAUUUAGCUUUUAAUGGUGGAUAGCAUGUUCAUAAUUAAAUAGCAAUUGUCAAGGUAGCAUAAAUAAUCCAUUAAUCACAUGAUCAAGUGUAAGCAUAAUUAACUCAUAGCAUAAACGAUAAUCAAAUGAACAUAAUAACAUAAUAAGCUCAUCAUCUUAAUGUAGAUGUCCCCAAGGCCACUCCUGACCGUGAGCUCGGCUAGUAUACCAGUUUUACACUCUGCAGAGGUUGUACAUCUUUAUCCAUGAGUCAUGAUUUACCCUUUUGCCCGAGGUAGCUAAUCUCUUAACCCCCUUCCUAGGGAGGUCGGCAGGGAUCACUAUGAAGCCUUUCAAAAGUUCGUCUAACAAGUUAGGGCCGCAAGGUUUCCUUUGCGCGCAGAUAUAGAGCCCCCCUUCCAAUGGCACAAUGACUCGCAGCCUAUACUCAUACAGACAGAGGCCACACUAUACCCAAAACGGUUCAGCCCCUCCGCCCUUUCGGGUAACCUCUAACAAGCUAGAAAAGGACUUCAUACUGAGCUAAAGCCAGAGCCAUUAUAGCCCUCAUGGUUGCACUGUUAUCCCAGGUGAUCACGUACAGACAAGAUCUCAUACAGUUAUUUGUCAUUCUUUUAUGUUCAUUGCAUAGCUAUUAAUCAUCUUACAAGAUCAUGGAUUAUAUCAAGCACUAGCACAUCUACACCAAAUGCAUAUCAAGUAGGUAGCAAGGAAUACAGGUAACAAUCAUCUAUGAUUUUGCUGAGGUCGACAAGGUGAUAGCAUGCAUAUGAUAUAUAUGUGUAUUUAAGUGAAUAGGUAACAAGGAUGAUCCCAAGUUAUACUUGCCUUGCUCAAAGCUCUCCUGAGCCUGCUGCUGGCCUUCGAAAGAUUGACCUUGAUCACCGACGUAUCGCUCACCGUCUAUAACCGAUCAUCAAUCAACAACACGCAUUCCAAUGUAGACAAUCAUACACGAAGCAAACAAGCUAUAAUUAGAACAAUACACCAAACAGUGGUAAAACAAAGAUAAAAGUUUAUCAAAAUGUUCUACGCAGCGCUACGAUCACACAAAAGUAAAGUUCACGAAAAACGGAAUUAAAACGUAGAAGUUAUGAAUUUUCUAAGAUUUCCUAUAGAGAAAUAAUCAAUUAAUUAAUACCAGGAAAUUUAAAAGUUUCAAAACAGAGAAUAAAUAAUUCUAACAUGUAGAGCUCGUGAAUACGAAUCUAACGAAAUUCGAAUGGAUAAAAACGGAGUUAAAAUGAGUAUUUUAUGAGCAUUACAAAAUCAGUGGCAUUUCUGUAAAUACUGGAAAGCGCAUUUAGGUUUCAGCCGACCGGAAUAAGCUUUCAGAACCGGAAGGAUCGCGGGUUCUAUUUUGGAAUUCUUUGAGGGCUCUUUAACAAAAUACCCCCCCGAAGGGGUAUUUUCUAAUCUCCACCGCCCACGGCCGAUCCAACGGCCGAGAUUCAGCGGGGAAGGGAACCAGGCGGCGGCCGGCCGCCGGAAGCCAAGCACAGCGCGGCGGCGCCAUUGGUGACGCCUCGGAGUUCGCCGUCGACCUCGGUUUCUGCGGAAACAAGCACCAAACUCCGAAUAAAAGGUACCGGGAGUUGGAGAAACGCUUCGCGAACUCACCUAGAUGGUUUACUCGGGCCGAGGGAUGGCGGGGAGGUCGGGUCGCGGCGGGGAUGAAACUCGGCUUGACGAGAUCUCACCCGUGCUGGUUUAGGUCGCUUAGGGUUCGUCCUUUGCGGCUCAGAGGGGAAAAAACGACACGCGGGGCACCUCUAGGGGCUUUAUAGGUUCUCGGUUUGCGAAAAAGGGCAAGAAAUCCCGCUCCCGGAUUGGAUUUGGCCCGCUGUUCGUGACCGGCUUGGACUCGCCAGGGAGGAAGAAGGAAAGGGUGCUGACAUGCGGGCCCGUGCCGUCAGCGACAAAGAGGAGGGGGAUCAGGGCGCGCACGUGUGGCAUGGCCACUGGGCCGCAAGCUGGGCCGAUCUGAGCUGGGUCGCAGGGAGAAGGAGGCGCGGGGGAAAAAGAAAGGCAGGCCGGGGAAAAAGAGUGGGCCGGGGAGAACUGGGCCGCGCCCGGUUGGCUGGUUUCCAGGGGGUGACUUCUUUUUUUUCUUCUUUUUCUUUUCUGUUUCUUUUUUUUCCACUUCUCCUUUGUUUUCUAAAGUCUUUUUGAAAAGAGAUUUUAAAUCCUUUUGAAGAUAAACAAAAUACAUAGACAAAAAGCAAGCAAGCAAGUAAACAAAUAAAUUGAUUCCAGCAUGAAGGCACCACCAUGUUUCUAACCUUGUAAUAAAAUUUAGUUUUGACAAAAAUUAUUUAUUUGCUAAAUUCAAAUGCCCACAAAAAUACUUAAAUAAAUCAAAUUAAAUCCUAUUAAUUCCAAAUCGAAUUUUGGGUGUUACAGGAUCAAGCAACAAUACCACUGCAAGCAAGCUAGCAUCCCAUGCGACGACAGUACAGUUCUAUUUAAUUCCAAUCCAUUUCAGUACUUAGAUCCUGUUUGAUACUCUAAACAAAGUUAGAAGUUAGAGUUAUUCUUUAACUUAUGACUAGCCCUCUAGCUAAAGAGGUGUUUGGAUGCAAACGUUAGAUUGACAAUUAAUAUACUUUCUCAAUCAUUUGACUCCUUUCCAACUAGAUGUGGUGUGGUCUGCUGUUGUGUGGCCUCCUUCCACUCAUGGCUUCGACUCGCGGUGGACGAUAAGGAGGGAGCUCCUCAUGUGGCUAGGGAGGAGCUCAUCACCGGCACUUGCGAGUAGAGAUUGAGAUCCGUGAGUCCAGAGCCGCUCAAUGACGGCUACGAGCCCCACGCGUCGAAGCCAUCUCCGUCCAUCGAUGGGAGAUGACGGCGAGGUAGGCUUGUGGCGGCGGCACUAGUUCCCGGGAGGCAGCCGUGUAGCUACGGAUUCACAUCGCGCAUGGGAAGAGAAACUGGUCACACGACGGGAGCCAAUCCCGUGUGGCAAAACAACGCUUUUCUUGUGGGCCCACCUCAAAUAGCCUCAAAUAGCCCAAAUAAAUACUUCUUUGGAGGAUAGUUUUUUGGAGUGGAUUAGAUGUAAAUAACCCUAAUCUAACUCUCAUGUUUUGAUACUUUAGGACAUUUUUUUCUUAGUCGACAGUUUCAAUAGAAUUUUAUUAUAGUUUUAUGCAUAUUAAAUAUGCUGGUGUGACACUAUAUUAAUAAAGAGAGAGAUGAUAAGAAUUUUAUAGAAAUAGAGAGAGUUUCAUCCCCAUAAAAUUCUUCUCACUAUUUCCAAAAUAUUGAUGUGUUGAAAACUAAGCCAUGAAACCCUACAGAGGAUGACACAUAAGCAGUAAAUGAUAUUUUUAGGUGAAGGUAUUUUUCAAUUCGUUUGCUCCUUUAUAGUAUAGAUAAUUAUGGCAGAGGUGAACAACCUUGUAGAAAAUAAAAUAUGGCCUUAUUUAGUUACACCCAAAAUCCAAAAACUUUUUAAGAUUCUUCAUCAUAUCGAAUCUUUGGACGUAUACAUGGAGCAUUAAAUAUAGACGAAAUCAAAAACUAAUUGCACAGUUUGCCUCUAAUUUGCGUGAUGAAUCUUUCGAGCCUAGUUAUUCUAUGAUUGAAUAAUAAUUAUCAAAUACAAACGAAAAUACUAUAGCGUUCCAAAAAUAUUUGGUGAGGAAACUAAACAAGACCUACAUCUAAUGGUUAGAUCACGAGAGCCUAUAGAUUUGAUGGCUAGAUACUAUUUCUAAUUAACGUGAGAAUUUCUAGCAUUAAACAUUUUUUUUCGAACGUGCCUUACGAGAAUAACAUAGAGACUUCAUUUGGGGCCGGCCUGGUUCAAUCGGUAAAAUUUUGGGAUUUUGGGUACUGCAGCAUUUUCGUUUUCGUUUGUAUUUAAUAAAAAUUAUACAAUCAUGAACUAACUGGGCUUAGAAUAUUCUUUUCAAAAAUGAUAGGUAAACUAUGUAAUUAGUUUUUGUUUUUGUCUAUAUUUAAUACUCAAUGCAUACACCGUAAGUAAAGUUUUCCAAAUGGGCCAGGCCCGCUAGGCUGACACGGGCACGGCCCGAGAAAGCACGACCCAAGCACGCCCCGGCCCGCAUGCCGGCGUGCCCGUGCCAGGCACGGCUCGCUAUCGUGCCCGUGCCUAGGCCGUGAGUUCGGCCCAUGGGCCAGCCCAGGCACGGCACGGAAAUGUGGCCUGGCCCGCUUAGGCAUGACAUAUUCAAUAUCAGUCGUCCGACUUGAAACCCUAGAUGAUGCUGCCCAUUGGAUCCGACCAUUGCUGAGCCUUGUAUAAAAUCCAAGGCCGCCCCCACAACUCCUCAUUCGCGUCGCCUCGCCUCUCCCCUCUCCCCUCCCACCGCAACGCAACCCUCACUGACUCACGUCGAGUUAGCCGUGGCGAACGACGACUCCACGGGGCGAGGGCGACGGCGGCUCGCCGUCGUCACCUCCCCUUCGUCUCGCCGGCUGGCAUCUCAAGAGCCAGAGUCGCCGGAGCCAUGAAGAACCAGGUCAGCUAGCUAGAUCCAUUCCCCAAAUCCCUAAUCCCCAGCUCUUCUUCUCGUUGUUCCCUAAUCUUCUUCCAUGCUUAUCUGCAGAUCCGCUGAAGUGGUGCUGCUCGGAGGACUCGGGAAUGCUUCUACGUCGUCGGCGACCGGGAGUGCAAGGAAAGCCGAAACCCUAACCCUAGCCCCGCCCGUUCUUACUUCUUCUUCUUUUGCUAGUUGAUGUUCUAUUCUGUUCUUGUUCUAAUCAGUGCAAGUUCGUUUGUUUGCAGCCGUUUGAGGCCACCGCCGGUUAGGAUGGCGGCCGUCCGGGCUGGGCGUAAUGUCUCUGAAGACACGGCGGAGGCCAGCGCCACCACCAUGGAUGAUGAGGACGAGAUGCUACGGAACCAGCCUUAGUCAUAGUCUUCAUGUUUAAUCUUUAUUUUGGCUUCAACUUGGGUUUGUAAUAUGAGAACUUGGACAAUGUAAGAACAUUGAACUUUCAUGAAGCUAGGCUGUACUCUUUUUCAUGACUAGGGUUUCUCAAAAGGGUGAGUUUUACCUAGCAGGUUUUAAUGAGGCAGCCAUUGCACAUGCUCUCAAUAUAUUUCUAUUUUCUUAGCUUGUGUGUUUUCUUUGGUUUUCUUUCUCUGGUUCUUUUCUGGCAAUUUAGAUUUCAUAAUCUUCUUGUUGACUUAAUUCUGAUUCUGAUGGAGUACUUUGUGAAACAUGUGGCUGUGCCUAGGCCGGCAUGGGCACUGCAGUGCCAUCGGGCCUGUUGACACGGCACGACACAGUUUCUCCUUGAUAGUGCCAUGCGUGGGCCAUCACUACGGCACGUUGGCACUAUCAGGCACGGCACGGCGCGCUGCCGUGCCCGUGCCGUGUCAUGUCGUGCCCGUGCAUGUGCCGUGCCGGGUGGCCUAUUUGGAAAACUAUAACCGUAAGACUCGAUGGGAUGGAGAAUCUAAAAUCUGUGGCAAAUUUUUUUUGGAAAUUAAACAAGGCCUAAGAUGCAAAAGUACGAACGUGUUGUCCCAGCAUUGGACAAUAGCACCGUACUGCGGUCGGAUCGGAUGGUUGCCUGCUUAGGCCUUGUUUACCUCAUUCCAAAAUUCAAAAAAAUUUAAGUUUUUUCAUCACAUUAAAUUUUACGGUACAUACAUAAAGCAUUUAAUAUAGAUAAAAUUAACUAAUUAUACUUAUAAUUUGUGAGAUGAUCUUUUAACUGAAUAAUAUUUGUCACAAACAAACAAAAAAAUACUAUCGUAUCCACAACAAGGCCUUAGUGGUAGGGUCGUCGGUCAUGGUCGUCGCCUCGUCCGCUUGUGUAUGUUGCUCAGCAGUCUCCCAUGGUCCCAGCCCUUAAAUUUUAGGGGCCCUCACCGCCAUGGCCCACUCGUUCCGAUCAUAGUGAGGCUUUGUUUAGUUCAUCCGAAAUUCAAAAAGUUUUUAAAUUUCUUUGUCACAUCGAAUCUUGCGGCAUAUGCAUGAAGCAUUAAAUAUAGACGAUAACAAAAACUAAUCACACAGUUUGACUGUAAAUUGUGAGACGAAUCUUUUGACCCUAGUUAGUCUAUGAUUUGGACAAUAUUUAUCAUAAACAAACGAAAGUGCUACAGUAGCGAAAUCCAAAAAAUUUUCACAUCUAAAUAAGUCAUGAGGUUAGUUUCUCUCAAAAACCAUUUUUUUAAAAUUUCUUGUUACAUUAAAUUUUUGGACACAUACAUAAAGUAUUAAAUAGAGAAAAAAAUAAAAACUAAAUGUACACUUUAUCUGUAAUUUACAAGACGAAUUUUUUAAAGCUAGAUAAUCUAUGAUUAAACAAUAUUUAUCAAAUACAAAUAAAAAAUACCACAAUAGUCAAAACCAAAAAUUUUCGGGAAACCAGACUCGCGUUGAUGCCGUCCCUAGUCUAAGAAAACUUUUAACUUGAGUAGCUAGUACAGCUGGCAAGCAUCUCUAUGAUAAUAAGUACACAUGCAUGCUUCGAGAUCUACAUACAUAUAGUACAUGUUUUCUCGACUGCUAUAUACUGCAGAUAAAUAUUGUCAACUCGUGCCCUGCUUCCAUCUCCUUUCAGGGUCCGUGGGCAAACCAGUUUCUAUCAUCACUUUAUUUACUCAAAAAAUUUUCAUCCAUCCUAUCGAAUCUUUGGAGACAUAAAUAAAAUAUUAAAUAUAUAUAAAAAAAUAAACUAAUUAUACACAGUUUGGUUGAAAAAAUCGCGAGACGAAUCUUUUAAGCCUAGUUACUCUAUGAUUAGCCUUAAGUGCUACAGUAACCCACAUAUGCUAAUGAUAGAUUAAUUAUGCUUAAUAGAUUUGUCUUGUAGUUUCCUGACGAGCUAUGUAAUUUAUUUUUUUAUUAGUUUCUAAAAAUCCUUCCCGACAUUCUUCCAACACAUCUGAUGUGACGCCAAAAAAAUUUUCAUCCUCAAUCUAAACAAGGCCAUGGAGACCAAUUACUUAGUUUUGGCCUUGUUUAGUUCCCAAAAAUUUUGCAAAAUUUUUCAGAUUCCCCGUCACAUCAAAUCUUUAGACGCAUGCAUGAGGUAUUAAAUAUAGACAAAAAUAAAAACUAAUUGCACAGUUUGGUCGGAAUUGACGAGACGAAUCUUUUGAGUCUCGUUAGUACAUGAUUGGAUAAUGUUUAUCAAAUAUAAACGAAAGUGGUACUAUUUUUAUUUUGCAAAAUUUUUUGGAACUAAACAAGGUUAAGGAUUGCGCUGGUUAGCACCUCCUCCUCCUCGGGCCUUGUUAUCCCCCUUUGAAGAUGGACUCCACUCCGAUGGCUAAUUGAUUAUGCAAAGGAGCAGGUUCCCAGUCUGAUCCGCAAACCCAAGGAAGGUCUCCCCUCUUGCCCCCAUCUCUCGUCCUCGGCUGCUCCUAUGCCGAUCUGACAACAACGGCUUCUUUCCUCGCAAUGCCAAUGGCAGCUGACGACCCAGCUAACAACAUGGUCGUCGCCCAUGUUCUUGCCCGGUGAACCAAACGAACCAUCCAUUACAGAGCGUACAGUACCUGAGCAAGCUAAUAAGGUAACUCACUUGGAAUUUGCAUUGCUAAUUAAUCUCCCCUCUUCCCUAUAUAUUUCAGUGCAAUAUAUAUAUAUAUAUAUGUAUAUGUGGUCUAUUUUCUAUUGUCGAACGAUUGGAAUACAAUGCCAUCUCAUGACACUAAUUAAGCUAGAUCUUAACUUUUGUGCUUGACUGACUGAGCAAAAUUGCUUGCGUCGUAUAUACUACGCACACUAUUUUUCAUUCAUGCAUUCACCAGAAUGAUAUUGCAAACGGAUUAUAUUGUUGGUCUGUUGUAGGUGCUUAUUACUACUCCAUGGUUUUGAUGUUCCAUUCCAACCUCAAUGAUGAAACACAGGCUUCCCCUGUGAGAAAGGUGAGUCGGAUGCAUGCCUCAUCCAUCAUGUCCUUCUCUCCCCAAAACCAUAGUCUCGCUUGCUCCUCUCCGUCUCCAAGAGACAACAAAUAAUAACGCUCUUAUAUUAUCCGCAACUUCCGAUCCAUCACACCGAAAACAACCGGAAAUUAAUUCUAAUAACCUACUAGUACAUAAUCAUUCUAUAUAGGUAUACCAGGUAGCAAAAUUAAACAGAGACUGAACUCAAUGCUUUCUUGCAAUGGGCAGAUAAUUCCAAUCUUCUGUUGAAGAACCAAGAUAGCACGAAGAUGGAUCUUGUGGUAGGUGCUUCAGAAUCAACCAUCAACAGUCUUGUGGGCAAGCUGGGCAGUCUUCUUGCCCAGGAAUAUGCUCUGAUAAGGGGCGUACGUGGUGACAUCCAGUACAUCAACGAUGAGCUCGCCAGCAUGAAGGCCUUCCUUCUUGACCUCACCCAGGAUGACCACGAUAAUCGGAAGAAGGACUGGAUGAAGCAGAUCCGUGACAUGGCCUAUGACUGUGAGGACUGCAUAGAUGACUUUGCCCAUCGCCUCCCCAAGGAUUCAAACUUUUCUGGCAAGUGCUGCUGCCCAUGGCUGGCCGCACUGCUUUAUGACCUCUGGACGUGCUGGCCUCGCCAUGAAAUUGCUUCCAAUAUUGCAGAGCUCAAGGUCCGGGCUCAACUAAUCGCGGACCGACGCAUGAGAUACGGAGUGGAGAGCCCAAAAGGCAGAGAAAGCAAUGACUCGUCUGAUGAUGUCCCUGGGUACGACGAAAUUGCUGAGGAUCAGCUCCCAAGGCGUGAGAUGACUAUGAAGGAGCCUGUCGGAACGAGGACUGUCAUGGAGGAACUUGAGAAGUGGGUGGAGAACAAAGCUGUGAAGGACCGAACUGUUGCAUCCAUUGUUGGAUUUGGGGGUGUGGGAAAGACCACGAUUGCCAUGGCGCUGUUCAAUAAAGUUAUGAAAGAUUUUGACUGCCGGGCUUGGGUCACAGUGUCUCAGAACUAUGAUGAAGAAGCCGUUUUCCGUGAUAUUCUGAGUCAAAUCAUCCCAGAUUACAAUCAGCAAGACAGUUAUGAAAACUCUGAGAAAAGGAAUACAGAGAAAUGCAUUCCAGGCCAAUUCAAACGAGCUUUACAACUCUGCCGAAGGCACACACCGACACAGCAUGACAAUUCUGGGCGGUCCAAAUUGACUUCAGCAACAACGGUAAAGGAGCACCUGCAGGAAAAGAGGUACACUUAAAAUCUUUGUCUCACGAGAGUAACAAAUAAUCUAGCAUUAUCCAUUUCAUAGUUCCAUUUCUAUUGUUCCAUUCCAUUACAGUUUCAUUUCUAUUAUUCCUUUGCAUUAUAGUUUUUCGUGCACUGUCACCUGCAAUCACAUUAGAUGUUUCCCCUGCAAUUGCUUUGAACUGAAAUUUCUACAACCAGACAGUGAUAGGUUUUAAGUGUCAUCAGAUCAUCACCAUGGCAUGCUGGUCUUCGGUGGCUCCGGUACUCAACAACACAAUAGACGAUAUGACAAUGUAUCCUGGCUUGGGCUUUCGAAAUUUCUUAUUUAUCGGCAGGUGCCGAAAAAAAUUUCCUACCGAAAAAGAAAACCUUGCUACUAACAACAGAGAAUAGUUCUUUGUAUUAGAGAGCACACUCUAUGUGGAAACCAGAAAAUGGAUGAUUUAAUUUGGUGAAAGUAUUGUUGGGGGCUCGGCACCACCUUCCCCUACCUGGUUGCUCCGGAGGAUCCUUCUUCAUGAACCUCCGUCCUAUGAUCCUUCGGAUGGAUAUGAGCUCCCCACUAUGGGAAACGAGUUUAUAGCAUGCCCCAUGAUGGGUGAACCCAUCCAUGUCCAUGGCAUGGGUGCCACUCGUUCUACAUAUUAACAGCUCAAAGAGUAACUUUCACAAAUGCAUUUCACUAUUCACACAUUCGUCGUUCACCUUAGUGAUUCCAGAUCUAGGACAACCAAUUCCGUGGGCUUCUAAGUUUGCUAUGUGGGACAUAGUCUCCAAGUACCCUGCAAGGAAAGACGAAGGCCUAGUUUGACUAAGACUCUCUGUAAUCCUACUAGGACUCCAACAUUGUAACUGACUAGGAGACUUGCUUCCUAGACUAUAUAAGGAUGGAAGGCUCCAUAGAUCAGCAGAUUGCACAACAUAUCAUACACAACAGUCCAACACAAAGGCAUCACGUUGAACUGGAUGUAAGGUGUUACGCUAUACUAGCGGCCUGAACUAGUAUACAUCAUUGCCUACCCAUUUACCAUCGAGUUCUGCAUACGCCGAAGGCCACCAAACUCUAUCCCUGUAACCCCAUGAUAGGUUGUUGGUUGCCAAACACCAACAUGUAGAUCCUUGUGUGGAUGUCAAUUAGUAACCAUUUGCCAUGUUUAGGAUCAAUACACAAUUAAAGGACCAUAAAGGUGUUGUGCUUGAGUACCACAUCAUCCAUGAUGAUGAAUGACUUCAUUUGCCUAGAUAGGCAUCAUGCUUCUAUUAUGUCCUUGUGGAGUUUUCCUUGUAAUAGUUGUCAAUUGGUAGCGUCCAAUUUGGUUUUACUGCCAUCAAUUCUGCAUUUUGCUAUUGGAUAGAUGUUCUACACUUGACGGUGUGUCCUCCUAGUCGCACUUUAGUCAGAUAGAGUAGUUGUCGAUGAUGCAACUUUGAUCCCAUUGAAAUUUUGAUUCUAGAUUAUCAAAUUUCUUCAAACUACACUUUUGUCAUCGGUUCAUUACCAUGCCGUGCAUGUUGUUCAUCGAAUGUUAGGAGCGUGGUUCUUCAGUAGCUUGGUUACUUAAGAACAUGAGAGAAGACAACAAAAUGUAUCCUGGUUUAGGCUUUUGAGGCCCUACAUCCAGCAAUUAGUAGUUCUUUACAUUCGAGAGCACCCAAAUUGGGGGUUUACAAUGAAGUACAAAGAGAGUUUGGCUAGGGAUUGCUUGGUGCUAACCUACGGCUCAUCAGCAGUGAGGUUUAUCUCCUAGCAAGUAAGGGAAAUGCUCCUCUCACUUUCUCGGUUGCUGGUGGGGGUGUUCCUCUCUAUUACGCUAUUCUUCUGUCGAGCUCUAGUGCUCUGCUUCCUGGCAAAUGACUGAAAGGGGAAGAAGCCCCUCUUCUAUGGCAGCUGACGAACUUGCCCUUAUAUUCUGGGAAGGUCGAGUACAAGGCGGUUUGAGAGCUAUAGUACCCUUCAUGCACCAAGACCUAGGAGGGUGCUGUUGCAACAUGGAUGAACCUCAAUGUUGUCGUGGAUUUGGGGGAGCUUUGCCUGAUGUUUUGGUAUCCUAGCGCUUGACCAAUAGGGAUUGUCCCCACUAGACUGGCCUCUACCCAGUGAGCCUUCUUGAGGCUUCCAUGAUGGCGAAGAUUCCCUAGAUCAGGGGCUAACAAGUAGGCCUAGGAGGUCUAGGCCCUUCUAGCUAGUGGUCUAGUUUUCCCAAUUGUGUCAUGCCAUCUACAUGACUCUGUUGAAGGAUUGGUUGACAGCUCUUUGCCUGUUGUUUGGGUGGGAGCCCCCGAGCCACGAAUGCUCGGCUACCAGCCAAUGCUUAGGGUGUUGGCCAUUGGCCCAGCCACUAGCUCGGGCUUGGGUUGAGCAUUGGCCAGGCACAAGCUUCUGUUGGUCGGGGGCUAGGGGUAUUAUAGAGUCCUUGAGUCUAGGGUGGAGGUAGUGAGUGAGCUUAGGCUCUGCAUAGCUUUUGAUUAGAUGGUGCGCACGAGCAUGCCCGAUGGGUAUAGCCCCUGAGUGAUCCAAUAGAGAUCAGUUGGGGGGUCUAUCAGUCAGCAUGCUGCCAUGUCCGAAUGUCACUCUACAACCACUCCAGUUGAUGCCCGUAUGAAGCUUUCUGCCACCGAUGGAUCUCUUGUCACUGAUCUGACACACUACCGUUGUCUUGUCGGUGCUCUCCAGUACUUGACACUGACUCGUCCUGGCACAGCCUAUGCUGUUAGCAAGUCUGUCUGUUUAUGCAUGACCCGAGGAAACAUCAUCUCGCAUUGUUUAAGAGGAUUCUUCAUUAUGUCAAGGGCACAUAGUUUGCUGGUCUUCAUCUCAGUGCUGGACCGGUUGAUAGUCUCACCACCUACUCGGAUGCUGACUGGGCCAGUUGUCCAGAUUCUCGAUGCUCGACCUCGAGUUACUGUGUCUAUCUUGGUGACAACUUGGUGUCUUAGUCUUCUAAAUGGCAGACCAGCGUCUCUUGCUCCAGCGCCGAGGAGGAAUACAGGGUUGUUGCACACGCUGUUGCAGAGACAUGUUGAAUUCGUCAGUUGCUCCAGGAGCUCCACACUCUGCUCACUUCGGUGACGAUUGUUUACUGUGAUAAUGUCAGUGCAGCAUACAUGACCAGGGAUCCUGUUCAUCAUCGCCGCACGAAGCAUAUUGAGAUUGACAUUCACUUUGUCCGUGAUAAGGUUGCUCUGGGUCAGGUCCGAGUGCUCCAUGUCCCAUCGUCACACCAGUUUGCGGACAUCACGACCAAAGGCUUACCUGUAUAGCUCUUUACUGACUUUAGGAAUAGUCUUUGCAUCCGAGACUUUGCUGCUACGACUAAGGGUGGGUAUUAGAGAUAUACAUAGAUAUAUAUUAGAUAUGUAUAGCUGACUCAUAGUAUACGUGAUGUAUAGUGUAUGUUGUAAUCAUACACAACUUGUACCUUAACCUUCCUGGCUAUAUAUUGAAAGGCCACUCCCCCCUAUCGGGUGUGCGGUGUAUUUGCCCUCUACUAUACAUUUCUACAGUCUCCAAUGUUCUUUGACUGAAUGAGAUGAGCUUAGGUCAGGGUCUGUUCACACCACCUACACUAUACAUAAUCAGUCUCCUAUCCAGUGUGCAUGACCGAUGCAUACUGGAUGCCUAGGUGCAGAAACAUAGCACGAACACAAAGAACCCUAAGCACCGGUCAUGUAUGGUGCAAGAUCCGGUGCCCCCAAGGAGACGACCAGUGCACAAACAACACCCAAAAAACCUGAAACUUGAUCAUAUCUUGGCUAAGUAAAAAACCAGUUGUCACCAAAAUUUUACCAGAUGGUCACAAAGGCUAUUGGUGGGCUGUCCCUAAGAAAUCAUCGCCUAAGACUUAGUCAAAUCACGAGAAUUUGACAUUUCAUGUUGAACUUGGUUUUUCUUCCCCCAAAAGACAAAAUUACCUCGAGCUAUGAGCUCAUGUGGAUUGGGAGAAAUUCACUUGGUAGAAGUUAUCAACACAUGUCCUACCUCAUCUUGGAUUAGUUGAAUGACCCAAAACCACUUCAAACAAAAAGUUGACGCAAAACAUGAUAUAGGGAAAGCAAAGAAUGAAGAACAACAACGAGAAGAAUUUCAAAUCCUAGAGGAGAACGAGAGGUAAGGGCCUAUCUUCCCACUUUCAAAAGGUUCAUAGAACACAAAUGAAGGAUUUGCAAUAGCUACUUCAUCUUUUGAUCUCCUACAACAAUCUAGAGGGAGGGGAAAACCUAGCAAGGGUAAAAAAGACUCACUAAAGCAAUGUUUUCCUAGAUGUUAAAUGGUAAAUAGCCGGUCACCUUUCAUUAAGCAGUCUAAACAAAUGAUUAAUCAGAAACAGUGUACCACUGUGUAGCGUUUAUACAUCGUUUAAACGGUCUAAACGCCCGUUUAGACAAACAAUGCACUAAAGAGAUAAGGAUGAUUAGGGAAUUCUCCACUUAUUUAUAGAUACACAUUCCCAACUUGCCCCUUAUAUAUUUGGAGCGAACCACAUAACCGAAGGUGUUUUCUGGUCCAACUCAAAGAUCUGGUAAUCCAAUAGACACAUGCCCUUUAUGACCUAGUUUUGCCUCGAUGCAAGCCUCAUGAUGACUCCACGUGCUGCCUCUGGUUCCCGCCGGAACUGCACCCGAGUUUUGAGGUCCAAACCACAAAACCGCUCAACACAUGUCACCGUUGUCCUUGGCCACCCGGCCAUCAAGUCCUCUAGCGCCUUCGCUUGACUUCCACUGUCUUGACUUGGUUAACAUAGUCCAUCUCCCAUGUACUUGUUGAUGACGUCACCUAGCUUCUCCAGUCCCUCCAUCCAAGCCUCGACAUCCAUCCUUCAUUGCUCCCAGUCCAUCAGCAUGGACCCGCUUGACCUUCACCUUCGCCGCCGACCACCAUUUCCGAGCUCCACAACCACAAGACAAGAGACACAUUACACACAACCCAACUCAUGCCACAGUUACUUCAACAAGUCAAUCCAAAGCACAAAUCUCGUUGACAAUCACACUCAUUACGAAUCGAACCACAAGCGCACAUAUUAACCUUAGGUUUGCAGUAGGAUAUCAUGUUAUUAUGUACUCCUUGGUACCUUAGCUCAAGGCAGCCAUGUGGGCGUUCUCUAGCAGACACUUCUUCUUGGUCCUAAUUUUAAUCAUUUUGCUAUCGUAUUUACACUCAUAUGAAAUCAAGAAAAAAACGAACGCUGUGUAAUAUAUGCUACGUCAUCCAAAGUCAUCUCACUACUCAAGAUUACAUCAGUAAACAAUCUGUACAAUCUGUCCUAAAAUAUAUGCCACUUUUUGAAUCUUGUUUUUUUGUCUCAUAUGAGAUUUCUCUUGUCCCUGUUUGCCAGGUAUAUCAUCUUAGUUGAUGACAUAUGGUCGGCAGAAACAUGGAAGCAAAUAUCACGUUGUUUGCCAGAUAAUAAUAGAAGCAGCAGAAUAAUAGUUACUUCAAGACUUCGUUCUGUUGGUGCAGCCUGCUACCAGAGUGAAAAAGAUCAUAUCUUUUCAAUUGAUUUUCUCUGUGAUGAAGAUGCCGAGAUGUUAUUCAAGCAAAGUGUUUCUGAAUCGAAAUGCCGCAAUGAUGGUGAUGCCAAUAAUUUAUCCAAGCAAAAGCAGAAACACAGCGACAAGGAAAUAAUACACCAUGGAGAAUUAUGGAGAAGGUGUGGGGGCCAGCCUUUGGCCAUAGUCACCAUGGCUGGUCUUGUGGCCUGCAACCAAAACAAACCGACGAAGUAUUGGGAUAAGCUUUGCAAAAGAUUGCCAGCACGAGAGACUUCCGUUACUGAGGUGUUUGACAAACAAGUAAAUUCUCUUACUCUGGAAGGAGUUAAAAGGAUUCUUGAUUGUUGCUACAAUGAUCUGCAUGGAGAUCUCAAGACCUGCUUAUUGUACUUAGCCAUGUUUCCAAAGGGUUGUAAAACUAGUAGGAAGUGUGUAACCUGGCGAUGGAUAGCUGAAGGUUUUGUUACUAAGAAGUAUGGGCUGACAGAGGAGGAACUUGCAGAGACAUACUUUAAUCAGCUUUUAAGAAGGAAGUUAAUACGUCCUGUGGAUCACAGCAGCAACGGAAAGCUAAAAACCUUUCAAGUACAUGACAUGGUUCUUGACUAUAUUGCAUCCAAAGCAAGAGAAGAGAAUUUUAUUACGGUGAUUGGUGGGCACUGGAUGAUGCCAGCACCGAGUGGUAAAGUUCGUCGACUGUCCAUGCAGAGCAGUAGUUCUAAGCCUGGAGAUUCAACAAAAGGCUUCAAUCUGUCUCAAGUGCGGUCGCUGACCGCUUUUGGGAACAUUAAUCAGCUGCGUUUUCAAGAAUUUAAUAACAGAUUAAUACAAGUCCUGGAUUUUCAAGGACUGAAGGGAGUUAGAGACAAACAUAUGAAUCACAUUUGUAAAAUGCUUAUACUGAAGUAUUUGAGCCUCCGAGGAACAGCUAUUACUGAAAUUCCACCGAGAAUUGGGAAACUUGAGUUUUUAGAAACACUUGACAUAAGGGAAACAGAUGUUGAAGAGCUUCCUGAAAAUGUAAGGAAACUAAAACGGAUCACUAGCAUACUUGGUGGGAGUAAAAACAAAAACCCACGGAAAGGGUUAAGGCUGCCUGAAGAAAAACGUAAGAAGCAACAGUUGCAAGAUAAAGAGGACGAUGGAAUGAAAGCACUGCGUUUGCAAGAUAACGAGGGUAAUGGGAUGAAAGCACUGCGCAUACUUUCUGGGAUCGAGAUCAACAAAACAACAGCUGUAGAAAGCUUUUAUUUGUUGACGGAGCUAAAGAAGCUGAGUAUUUACAAGCUGAGUAUAGAGGGUCCAGAUAAAAUUCAAAUCUUCGAACAACUAUUAUCUUCUAUUGAGUACCUUUGCAGCUGUGGUCUGCAGACUCUGGCAAUCAACGAUUUAGAUUCUGAAUUUAUCGAAUCACUAGACAAAAUGUCCGCAGCUCCAAGAUAUCUCGUUGCACUUGAGCUUUCAGGAAAGUUAGAAGAAACCCCAAAUUGGCUCCAGAAACUACACACACUGAACAAGUUAACCCUAUCUGUCACAGUUCUCAGGACAGGUACUUUGGAUCUCCUCUCCAGCAUGCCGCUGCUGUAUUCUCUCACAUUUUCAUUUAGUGGAGCCAAGCAGGAUAAUGAUAUAGUGAAUGUCCUCGAGAAGAAUAAAUCACAAUCUGAUGGGGAGAUCUUUGUUCCAAAAGGAUUCAAAAGCCUUAAGCUUCUUCGGUUCUUUGCACCUCGUGUUCCAAAGCUGGGCUUCUGUGACAACGCAAUGCCAGCACUUGAGAUUAUUGAGAUGAGGUAUCAAACCUUCGAAGGUCUGUUUGGAGUUAACACACUUGGCAAUCUCAAAGGUGUGCAUCUCAGAGAGGAGAAACUGGGAGAAAAAGAUGAGAAAACAAUAAACGAAUUCUUGUUAGAUGAUUUGAAAUAUAGCACAGAGGAACUGCAGGUAGUCGUUGAUCACACCUUCAUCACUUAUUGAAUAGUCGAAAUACAUUUCUGCCAGCGAUCGCCCCCUUCGCAUGGAGUGGAGAUUAGAAUCUUAUAUAUAUUAUUCCC
rnacentral:lncRNA from 1 species